rnacentral:lncRNA from 1 species
ACAAACAUUGGUCUCAUGACCCAACAUUCAGAGCAUACAAGUCAAAGCACACGCAGAAGCUUAACAUGUCUGAGUACAGACAUCUACAAAUGAAAAAGGCCGAGAAGCCUGACUAUCUACCUGAUCCUACCGAGGGCACAAGAUCGUAGCUGAGGUAACAAGCUAAAUGUCGAAGUCCACGUGGAACUACUUGUGAGACUGAUGUCUCUCUUCAAAACAUAAAAUAGGCAAACGUGAGUACAAAUGUACCCAGCAAGACUUACAUCAGAACUAGCUACAUAUGCAUCAUUAUCAACAAAGGGGAUGGUGGGGUUUAACUGCAGCAAGCCAGCUUUGACUCGGUGGCUAUCCUGAACUACGACUGCAAGUAACUCUUUUGAGGUGGUGCACACGAGUCCACAUAUUCACCAUAACAAUACACCACAGUGGAUCCACUCCCGUCUCCCUACGAGAACGCCAUCCAUAGCACUCACGCUUAUCUUGCGCAUUUUAGAGUAUCCACUUUCACUUGUCUAUGAACUGUAUAGGCAACCCAGAGGUCCUUUACCGCGGACACGGCUAUUCGAAUAGAUCAUAUUAACCCUGCAUGGGUGUACUUCUUCAUACACGCUCUCACCACUGAUCGCCAUUUACACGACAUGUACUCGGCAACCUUCAAGCAGAAGCCCAGCGAGGGUGUCGGCCAUGACCUGACUAACCACACAAGUCUCUCAUUCAGGUUUAUCGCCUAUUCGGGUUCCAUCCGCAAGGAGAUCCGGCCGGGGUGUCGCUCACAGCCCCAAACGAUGUGUGCAGGGUUCCCAAGCCCACCUCGAUGGAUGGAUCUACGCUUGGUACAUCGUGCCACGGUGCCAAGUCUGUCCCAAGCCCACCUAUACCGGGUGCCACUUGGUAGACUACUAGCACUACCUACAAACACCAGAAACUAGUUGCAACUCCUGGACAGAGAUCAAAUUGAUUAAUAAGUCGAGAGGGGCACUUAAGCAUUCCAAUGCGUGGUAGUAUCUAUUCAUGGAUCACAAACACGGAACUCAGUUCCUGAGGACGGCUUCAAUGAGACAACCCACCAUGUACUCCUACAUGGCCUCUCACCGCUACCUUUACCAAAUCGUGUUCACACACUUAGCUCACACACAAUAGGACAUGUUCACACACCAUUACAAUUCAUCCCCGAUGAAUCACACCUGACUCAACUCUAAGCAGUAGCAGGCAUGACAAACAAGCAUGAAUGAGUAGGCACAUCAGGGCUCAAAACAACUCCUACUCAUGCUAGUGGGUAUCAUCUAUUUACUGUGGCAAUGACAGGUCAUGCAGAGGAUAAGGGGUUCAACUACCGCAGCAUGUAACAGUUGAAUCAUUAUUGUCCUAAUGCUGUAAAAGAGAGCAGAGCGAGAGAGUGGGUUUGUAUCGGAAUGAACAAGGGGGUUUUGCUUGCCUGGCACUUUUGAAGAAGAUAUAGCUCUUCAUCGGUGUCAUCAAACUCAUCGUCGGAACCACGUCUAUCGAGAGGGGACAAACACUAGCAAACAGAGAAGAAACACGAUCAAUGCAAUGCACAAUAUGAUGCAUGAUCAUGACAUGGGAUAUGCUGUGAUUUGAGCUAAUGCAGCUAAGAACAGAAGGGUUUGAGCUUAUUUGAACCAAAGAUUCAAAUUCAAACUCAAACUAUGAAUUUAUAAAGUGCAUCAUCAUGUUUCAUCUAAAAAUCAAGGUUAGGUUGCUCUAACAUGCAUGAAACUAGUGCAGAUGGGUAGAUUGGAUUUUUAUGAUAAUUUUUCAUAUAAAAAUCGUUUCAUUUGGAGUUACAGAUUAAUUGCUAUGAAUUUUUGAAGUUUGCACCAUUUUCUGGAAUUUCCUGAUUAUAACUAAAUCCAGAAAAUACUUUAUUGUGUCAGCAUUGCAUCACUGUGAUGUCAGCGGUUAACAGGGCCGGUCCAGGUCAAACUGACCAGUGGGUCCCGCGUGUCAGUGGUUAGCUAAACUAACUAAAUUAGUAUUAGUUUAACUCCUAAUCUGGGUUUGACCAGGGGUGGGGCCCACAUGGUCAAAUGGGUCAAACCCACCGGCGACAUGACGCCGGCGAGGCUAGUCGCGGCGGCGAGCUGCGGAAACGCUACUCAGGGUGCCAUUCGCCACGCGGUUUGUUCCUAUGUGCUCCUGGAAGUGAGGCGCAUCGAAUGGAGGUAGUGGCUGGAGCUGGGCUGGCCUGAGUCGACGGCGGCGAGCACGAAUGUGGCGGCCGGCGUUCGGGUGUUCGCGGGAUCGGUGCUGUGGUGCGUAAACUAGUGUAGCGAGGUGCUAGGGAGGCUCUACGCGCGGUGGUGAGCAUGUUGGACGCACGCCCGGGACCAAAUGGUCACCGGAGCUGCGUCGGCGACGAGUGCAGGUGGCAGCGCAGUCGGGCAAGAGGGGCGUGGUGGCUACGGAGUGCAAGAGAGAAAACGGAGAGGGGGAGGAUGAUUAGAAGCUCACGGUGAACACGAGGAGCGAGUCGGCAAGUUCGGGGAGAGGCUGAAGCGAGCGGGGCGGUGAGGGGGAUCUCCGGCAUCCGACGGUGAGGAUGGGGAUGAUGGCGUUGCUUCAGGCGUCCCGCGGGCGCGAGCUUCAUCUUGAGGCUCCGUGGCGUCUAGGUGGAGCCUCUGGACAUCACGGAGAGGCGAGGGAGAGGCGAUGGCCGCGGUUGUGCUCGUCGGCGGCGACGACAGCGCUCGAUGGUUGCGUGCGAGAGAGCCAGAGGAGGAAAGGGCCACGGGGGGAGAGUGAGAGGGGCCAUGGGGGUUGCGUGGCGCUCGGGGAUGACUCCAGCAGCGGUAAGCAGGCAGGAGGUGGUCGUGCACGUGCCGGCAUGCGGUGGCCAUGCGCCUCGGUCCUUCUGGCAGAGGAAGGAGAAGACACGGGAGCCCCUGGUGGGCUGGGCCGCCAGCUGGGCCACCAGGUGGGCUGGAAGGCCAGAUAAGUGGCCCAGGUAGGUCCUCUCUCUCUUUUCCUUUUAUUUCUAAUUUUCUUUUGUUCUGUAAGUUUGUGGUAUUACUAAAAAUAUCUAGGCACUUUCAAAAAUCACCAAAUUGUGCAUGCCCAAUGUUUAGAAUAUAUCCAACACGGAACAUUUUGGUUUGGGAUUAUUUGGACAUUUAAAAUAUUUACUAGCAUUUAAAUGCCCAAAUGAAAUUAACUAAUGAUUUAAUCCAGUGACCCUCUGUUGUCCUAUAAAAGUGUGCACUAUUUUUGUCAGAGGUUCUAGACCAAUUCAAAAAUGAUGGAAAUUUAUGAAGGGCAUUUUAGGUUCAUUGAAAAUGAUUUUAUUUGAGCCUAUUUGAAUUCAUUUGGUGCUAGGGUUUAAACAAUCCCCAUUUCAAGUUUCUUUAAAAUUUAAACACGAUGCAACAACCAAGCUAGACCAAGUGCAUUACUAGAAGCUAGGGAUGUGACAGUGAAUGUUCGUUCGUUAGCCUGUUCGUCAGUUUUUCUUUUCUCGGGUUUUUCAUGAUUAUUCUCGAUCGCGAUUUCUGAUUCGAUUUUUGUUUUAGUACAAUUGCUCGUUUAUAGAAAUCAGGCGAUUCAGGCGCCUAGAGUUUCGUCUCGAAACCCUCUUCCCGUUUAACCAACUCAAACAAGUUUUUCUACUGUAAAAUUUGACUUAGGUCUAGAUUAGUAAAUGAAGCUUGUUUCUUUCGCCGUUUGAGUUUUGUUGCUUCGUUUGAUUUGAUUCUUUUUGCAAAUAGGAGUUCUUAAGUUGAACUUUCUGUUAGAUCUCUCAUCUGAGUUUUACCCAUGCAUUAGAUGAAUGCUUAUUGUAUGAUUGUUUGUUUGCGAUAGAGUACCCGGAGUGCGCAGCGUGCUACUACGAGUCUCUAGGUUUCACGGAUCAUCAACAAGGCAAGUAACACGUUGAUCAUACCUCUUUACUACCCAGUUUUAUUGCAUUAGAUCAAUCCUCAAACAAUUGCGUGGUUAGGAUCUGAUUAAUAUGUGGGUUUUGGGAAGUAGAUGAGGUAGUACCUAUUACCUGUUUAUUAUCAAACCUUUGGGAGUUACUUCUACGUUUGCUUAUAUUGCUAUGCUAUGCUAGUAGACGUGGAUUGGGUGAGUGUAUCCAUGACAGAUGUGAGAUUGUUAAUUAAUGGUUCAACUUAAGGUGGCAACUUUAAUACACAUCUGGGUGGAUUGAGGCACCUGGGGAGCCCAGUGUUGCCUGUAUUUUUGGAAAUCCCGGGGUAUCGUGUGAUUCUCCUAUGGACUGCCACCCAGGCUCAAAGGGAUCAUAAGAUUAUUCAUGCUAGAAACUUCCGUGUGCAGCCGCAAGCUACUAUGGGCUCUAGCAUAGUUGAGUAUGUUAUGUGACCUCUUACAGUGGUAGACUAGCAGAUGUAGGGGAUGUAGGUUGGUACUGUCUACCCAGAGUAAAGAGUUAGUGCUUCUGAAAGAUUGUGUCUCGGUCAUCCGUUUCUCAAACAUCAUGUAGUGCGAGAAAUCCAAUGGAGGAGAUCGAGUCUUGCGGGGAAAAGUGUGCAAACCUCUGCAUAGUGUACAAACUGAUCAUGGUUAGCCGUGUCCCCGGUUAUGGACGUUUUGAGUAUCUAGUUUCUUGGAUUAUCAUGUGAAUCUCAUCAUGUUACUCAAUUUAAUUUGAUUGGGUUAAUGAUGAUGCUCAAUUGGGAUUGAGUUGGAGGAACCUUCUCAAUGUUUAACAACCACCAUGAUAGUUAAAUAAAAUUAAUUCCUUUGUUGUAGGGAAAAAUUGGCUUUAUGCAAAAUUGUAACCAUAGAGCUUUCCACCAGCCACAUAUGCAUGUAGUGAUAGCAUUAUUCUGUUCAUUAUUCUCUAUAUGUUACAUUGCCAGCAUAUUCCAUGUGCUGACCCGUUUUCGGGCUGCAACGUUCAUGUUGCAGACUUUUCAGACAAGGAGUAAGGUGCUUUAGGUCGUGAUCUUUCACUCAGUGAUGCCGUUGGAGUUGAUGGACUCACUUUAUCUUCCAAGCCUUCCGCUGUUAUCGUUAUUAGAUGGCCUUGAGCCAUAUUUAUUGUAAUAAGUUCUCUUUUGAGACAUUUGAUGUAAUAAGUGUGUGAUUGCUACUCUGUUAUAAAUCCUUGAAGUACUGUGCGUGUCAGCAUUACCGAUCCAGGGAUGACACUGAUGCACAGAGAUCAGACUAUUUGAGGACUGGUCGCUACAAGAUGGUAUCAGAGCACAUGCUGACUGUAGGACACGACCACUAAGCUAAAGCCCUAGAUCACUACUCUCUUCGCAGUUUUGACUCAUCUCCUUUUUCUACUCCUUAGGAUGGUGGAUGGAAGGAACAAGUUCACACAACCGGAUGAAGAUACACCUUUUGGAUGCCACUUGAAGGAAGUUACUAGAUAUCUUAAUAUCGGAGUACCAAGCUUCACCGAGACCUACAUCGCCACUUUACUAGAAGAGGAGCAUUGGAUGAUUCAAGUUCAAGUUUCAGGAAGGACGUUCAUGCCCGUCACUGAGCCCAUAGAGUUUUCCUUUGAUGCACCAACCUGGAGUUUAGGAAAGAGCAUGGUAACCCACAUCACCAUGGGACGCAUUGGAGAAGUUUACCACAAUGAUCUCAAGGAUACUAUUUACCAAAUUUGUGGGAGCCGAGAUGAGCAAUGGGAGAUGAUCAGCACUAGGAAGGAUAGAUCAAUUGCGGCUUUCAUCCAGGAGUUAAACUAGCACAUUCGACGCCAGGAGAACCAGAUGUGCGCAUGCAUGAUAGAUCUGAAGAAAGCAAUGACCAAGAUCAUAGAGCUGGAAGAAGAACUCAAGUCUACACGUGAUGGAUAUGAGGAGGAAAUGACGACACUCGUGGAUAAGAAUGAUGAUCUGAAGAAGAAGCUAAAAGUAUUCAUGGGAUUCCCUGCGCCAAGAGGAGAUGACGAUGAUUCCACUUGCCCAGAGAAUUACAUCAUCAUCGAUGACACCGAUUCAGACCCCGAAGAUAGUGAUGAUGACUUUGUUGAUGAAGCUGGAGCAGAUAUCAUGGAGUCUUCGACCGAUCAAUUUUUCUAGUCGACCACCAUAACAGUAGUAGUAUUCCCCCAUGUAUAUAGUAAAGUCCGAGCACGUUUGUAACGAUAGUUAUACCGUUGUAUGCCCUUGUUUGAAUUGAUUGCAGUGAUAUUGUUUGUGUUUGUCUCAUGUGCAUAUGGGUAGUGUUUUCUCUCUAGACCUCAUUCUAUUCUAUAUUCUCAUCUUUUCUAAACCCUCAGAUGCCUCCGAGACGUGACAAUGGAUUUGCUUUCCCACUGGAGCUCACUCAGUUGAUCCAGCAGCAGAAUGCAUUGAUGCAGAUACUAGUCCAGAAUUAGAAUCAGGGGAACAACAACAACAACAACAACAACCCACCACCACCACCUGUUGAUCAUUUAGCCCGUUUCUUGAGGCUGAAUCCACCGGUGUUCUCCAGUAGCACCGAGCCGAUAGUUGCAGAUGAUUGGCUCCACAAGAUGGGAAGGGAGUUGACCACUGCAGGAUGCACAGAUGUGGAGAAAGUGUGUUUUGCCACACAUCAGCUUGAUGGACCCGCAGCAUCAUGGUGGAAGAAUUUCACAGCCACUUACCCCAUCGACACUAUCACAUGGGAUCAGUUUCAGCAGGCUUUUUGUACUGCCCAUGUUUCAGCAGGAGCUAUGGCCAUGAAGAAGCGUGAGUUUCGCAACUGUGCCAAGGAGGACAUACGGUUGGCCAGUAUGUUGAUGAUUUUAGUAAGCUAGCACGUUAUGCCCAAGAUGACGUUGCGACGGAUGCAACUAAGCAGGAGAAAUUUCUGGAAGGACUGAAUGAUGAGCUGAGCAUGCAGUUGAUGGUGGCAACCUUCAACAACUACCAGGAGUUGGUAGACCGAGCUCUCAUGAUUGAAGGGAAGCGGCAGCAGAUUGACAGCCGCAAGAGGAAGUAUGGACAAGGAAAGUACAAUUCUGGAGCUCAGCAGAAGCCUCGUUUUACCCCGAACCCAGGAGGACCAUUUCACAAUCACAAUGGAGGUCACAAUCACAAUGGAGGGAGUUCGCACAACCAUAGUGGCCCCAAGAAUGGCAAUGGGAAUGGAGGAAGCAAUGGAUAGAAUCGUGCCAACCCAUCACCAGCCAAGAGGGAUCUAAGCCACAUUACCUGUUUCAAGUGCCAGAAGACUGGACAUUAUGCCAUUGAAUGUCCUGAAGCUAAGAAUGGAAAUGGCAAUGGAAGCUCUAGGAAGAAGCCUAACCCUUUCAGCAGGGGACAAGUGAACCACAUUAGCGUGGAGGAGGUUGAAGCCCAGCCAGAUGCAGUAAUAGGUAAGUUUUUGGUUAAGUCAUUUACUGCAAUCGUUCUUUUUGAUACUGGUGCAUCACAUUCAUACAUAUCAAGGGAAUUUGUGGAUAAGUAUAAACUGCCAACCCAAGCCCUUAGGUCACCCAUGUUAGUAACCUCGCCAGGAGCAGAGUAUAUGGCUAGCCUAUGGUGUGAUCGGUUACCAUUAAGGAUUGGUAACUACGUGUUUCCCUCAGACCUAAUUAUAUUGGAAUCACAAGGACUGGAUGUGAUAUUAGGCAUGGAUUGGUUAUCGAAGUAUAGAGGGAACAUUGAAUGCGCCAGUAAGUCGAUUUUGCUUACCACCCCAGAAGGAAGAAAGAUCAAGUAUGUAUCCCGACAUGUGCCGAAGAGGACUCAAGUGAAUUCCUUAUCAGGAGUUGUAUAGGAGGAAGUACCAGUGGUGAAGGAUUUCCCUAAUGUAUUUCCAUAAGAGUUGCCAGGCAUGCCACCAGAUAGAGACAUUGAGUUUUUGAUUGAGCUUUUUCCAGGCACAGGGCCGAUAUCUAAGAGACCAUACAGGAUGCCCGCAAAAGAUCUAGAGGAAAUUAAGAAGCAGAUUAAGGAGUUACUGGAUAAAGGCUAUAUUCGCCCAAGUUCGUCACCUUGGGGAUCACUAGUGAUUCUAGUGGAGAAGAAGGAUGGAUCAUUGAGGAUGGUUGUUGAUUAUCGAGGAUUGAAUGAAGUGACAAUCCAGAACAAGUUCCCACUGCCGAUGAUCAAUGAUCUGUUUGACCACUUGCAAGGAGUAAAGUAUUUUCCAAGAUCGAUCUGCAAUUAGGAUACCACCAGCUGAAGAUUCGAGAGCAGGAUAUACCUGAGACAGUUUUUACCACAAGGUAUGGGCUAUAUGAGUAUACCGUUAUGUCAUUUGGCCUGACUAACGCACCUGCCUAUUUUAUGAACAUGAUGAACAAAGUGUUUAUGGAGUUUCUGGAUAAGUUCGUCGUGGUGUUCAUUGAUGAUAUUUUGGUCUACUCAAAGAAUGAAGAGGAGCAUAAGGAGCAUUUGUGUUUGGUACUUGGGAAGCUCAAAGAACAUCAAUUAUAUGCCAAAUUCAGCAAGUGUGAGUUUUGGUUGAAAGAAGUUGGAUUCCUCGGACAUGUUAUAUCUAGAGAAGGAAUAGCAGUAGACCCCACCAAAGUUGUCACUGUGACAAAUUGGGAAGCACCCGCGUUAGUUGGAGAGAUCCGGAAUUUUCUUGGACUCGCAGGAUACUACCGGAGGUUCAUUGAAAAUUUCUCGAAGAUUGCCAAACCCAUGACGGAGUUGUUGAAGAAGGACACCAAAUUCAAAUGGACUGAGGACUAUGAGGCCAGUUUCCAGGAGUUGAAGAAACGUUUGGUUACAUCACCGGUGUUGAUUCUGCCAGAUCAGCGCAAGGAUUAUGAAGUAUAUUACGACGCUUCUCGUCGAGGACUUGGAGCAGUGCUUAUGCAUGAAGGAAGAGUUGUUUCGUAUGCCUCACGACAACUUAAGCCCCAUGAAUUAUGCUACACAUGAUUUGGAGUUAGCAACAGUAGUGCACGCAUUGAAGACAUGGAGACAUUUUCUCAUCGGAAACCAUUGUGAGGUGUACACAGAUCACAAGUGUUUGAAGUACAUCUUCACGCAGAAGGAGUUGAAUCUUAGGCAAAGGAGAUGGUUGGAGCUCAUUAAGGAUUAUGAUAUGAUGUUGCAUUAUCACCCCGGAAAGGCUAACGUAGUAGCCGAUGCAUUGAGCCGCAAGAGCCAUGUCAACACACUGUUGACCGGAGAGUUACCCAAGGAGUUAGCCGAGGAUCUUUGCGAGCUAUGUUUGGAGAUAGUUCCGAGAGGCUAUGUAGCAGCAUUGGAGAUUCAGUCAACUUUGAUGGAUAAGAUCAGAGAAGCUCAAAAGACUGACAAGGAGAUCGCCGAGAUAAAGGAGAAGAUGAGCAAAGGAAAAGCUAAGGGAUUUUGUGAGGAUGAGCAUGAUACCUUAUGGUUUGAGAACCGCGUUUAUGUGCCUAAUGACCCGGAGAACAGGAAGUUGAUUCUGCAAGAGGCCCAUGAUUCACCAUAUUCGAUUCACCCAGGAAAUAACAAGAUGUAUCUGGAUUUGAAGGACACUUUCUGGUGGACCGGAAUGAAGAAGGAUAUUGCAGAGUAUGUAGCAGUUUGUGAUGUAUGUCAGAGAGUAAAGGCAGAUCAUCAAAAGUGAAGGAAAUAUGCCCUAGAGGCAAUAAUAAAGUUAUUAUUUAUUUCCUUAUUUCAUGAUAAAUGUUUAUUAUUCAUGCUAGAAUUGUAUUAACCUGAAACAUAAUACAUGUGUGAAUACAUAGACAAACAGAUUGUCACUAGUAUGCCUCUACUUGACUAGCUCGUUGAUCAAAGAUGGUUAUGUUUCCUAGCCAUAGACAUGAGUUGUCAUUUGAUUAACGGGAUCACAUCAUUAGGAGAAUGAUGUGAUUGACAUGACCCAUUCCGUUAGCUUAGCACAUGAUUGUUUAGUAUGUUGCUAUUGCUUUCUUCAUGACUUAUACAUGUUCCUAUGACUAUGAGAUUAUGCAACUCCCGUUUACCGGAGGAAUACUUUGUGUGCUACCAAACAUCACAACGUAACUGGGUGAUUAUAAAGGUGCUCUACAGGUGUCUCCGAAUGUACAUGUUGGGUUGGCGUAUUUUGAGAUUAGGAUUUGUCACUCCGAUUGUCGGAGAGGUAUCUCUGGGCCCUCUCGGUAAUGCACAUCACUAUAAGCCUUGCAAGCAAUGUAGCUAAUGAGUUAGUUGCGGGAUGAUGCAUUAUGUAACGAGUAAACAGACUUUCCGGUAACGAACUAGGUAUUGAGAUACCGACGAUCGAAUCUCGGGCAAGUAACAUACCGAUGACAAAGGGAACAACAUAUGUUGUUAUGUGGUUUGACCGAUAAAGAUCUUCGUAGAAUAUGUAGGAGCCAAUAUGGGCAUCCAGGUUCCGCAAUUGGUUAUUGACCAGAGAGAUGUCUCAGUCAUGUCUACAUAGUUCUCGAACCCGUAGGGUCUGCACGCUUAAGGUUCAUUGACGAUAUAGUACUAUGAGUUAUGUAUGUUGGUGACCGAAUGUUGUUCGGAGUUUUUGGAUGAGAUCACGGAUAUGACGAGGAACUCCGGAAUGGUCCGGAAGUAAAGAUUGAUAUGUGAAUAGUAGUGUUUGAUCUCCGGAAAGGUUCCAAAAUCCAUCGGAAGGGGUUCCGGAUGUUUCCCGAAAUGUUUGGGCACGAGAACACUUUAUCUGGGCCAAAGGGGAAAGCCCACGAGGUUUUUGGAAAGCGCAAAAGGAAGUUUUGCGGAGUCCAGGGGCCAGACGUCAGGGUCCCUGGCGUCUGGGUCCAGACGCCGGGAACCCUGGUGUCUGGCCCUCGAGUCUGAGGACUCUUGGCUUUCGGGUGAAACCGACUUUGUGGAGGCUUUUACUCCAAGUUUCGACCCCAGGGCUCAACAUAUAAAUAGAGGGGCAGGGCUAGCACCAAAGACACAUCAAGAAACACCAAGCCGUGUGCCGGCAACCCCGUCCCCUCUAGUUUAUCCUCCGUCAUAGUUUCUGUAGUGCUUAGGCGAAGCCCUGCGGAGAUUGUUCUUCACCAACACCGUCACCACGCCAUCGUGCUGCCAGAACUCAUCUACUACUUCGCCCGUCUUGCUGGAUCGAGAAGGCGAGGACGUCAUCGAGCUGAACGUGUGCAGAACUCGGAGGUGCCGUGUGUUUGGUACUUGGAUCGGUCGGAUCGUGAAGACGUACGACUACAUCAACCGCGUUGAUAAACGCUUCCGCUUAGCGAUCUUCAAGGGUAUGAAGAUACACUCCCCCUCUCGUUGCUAUGCAUCACCAUGAUCUUGCGUGUGCGUAGGAAUUUUUCUAAAUUACUAUGUUCCCCAACAAAAAGCCAGCAGGAUUGCUACAGCCAUUGCCGAUACCCGAAUGGAAGUGGGAUAAGCUAGGCAUGGAUUUUAUCACGGGAUUGCCCAGGACACGUUCAGGCUAUGACUCGAUAUGGGUUGUAGUCGAUCGUUUGACGAAGGUAGCUCAUUUCAUCCCAGUGAAGACCACUUAUACAAGUGCUAAGUUGGCAAAGAUAUACAUGACCAGAAUCGUAUGUCUGCAUGGAGUUCCUAGGACCAUUGUAUCAGAUAGAGGAACCCAGUUUACCUCAAAGUUCUAGAAUCAGUUGCACGAAACUUUGGGUACCAGGCUAGAGUUCAGUACAGCCUUUCAUCCACAGAUAGAUGGAUAGACCGAGAGAGUCAAUCAGAUUUUGGAGGACAUGUUGAGAUCUUGUGCACUAGAUUUUGGAUCUAGUUGGGACGACAAUUUUCCAUAUGCAGAGUUCUCUUACAACAAUAGUUAUCAAUCCAGUUUGAAGAUGGCCGCUUUCGAAGCUUUGUACGGAAGGAGGUGCAGGACACCGUUGUUGUGGGAUGAAGUUGGAGACCGUCAGUUGUUUGGACUGGAUUUGAUUAAAUAGUCUGAAAAGAAGGUUAAAUUGAUUCGUGAUAGGCUCAAGGUAGCCCAGUCAAGGCAGAAGAGCUAUGCGGAUUCUAAAUGCAAGGAGACAGUUUACGAAGUUGGAGACAGAGUUUAUCUUCGUGUGUCCCCACUUCGAGGAGUUAAGCGUUUUGGAGUUAAGGGAAAACUAGCGCCAUGUUUUGUGGGACCAUACAGAGUUUUGGAGUGUAUGGGAGAAGUUGCUUACAAGUUGGAAUUGCCCGAAGGUUUGUCAGGAGUUCAUGAUGUGUUCCAUGUUUCCUAGUUGAAUAAGUGCCACGCAGAGAUGGCCGAUAUACCUCUGAGAGAUACAGUGCCACUGGAAGCGAUUCAGUUGGAUAGCGAUUUGACCUAUGAGGAGAAACCGGUCAAGAUUUUCGAGUUUGCCAGCCGAGUCACGCGCAGCAAGGUUAUCAAGUUUUGCAAGGUUCAGUGGAGCCACCAUACCGAAGAUGAAGCCACCUGGGAGCGAGAGGAAGACCUACUGAAGGACCACCCUCACCUAUUUUCUAGCCAACCCGAAUCUCGAGGGCGAGAUUCAUCUUAAGGGGGGUAGGUUUGUAACAUCCCAAAUUUUCAAUUUGGAAUGUUAUACGUUAGAUCAUCAUUGCAUAUCAUAUUUUAUUGCAUUUUGGCUUGAUUCUAGAAAUUCUAUGCAACUCAAGGACCCACGGAGAGAGUUGGGGAUUUCGUUAUUUUCAUAUUCGAGUUUUUCUCAAAUUUUGAAAAUAGGAUCAUUUGAUUUUAAUUAUUUUACCUUCAUAUAUUUGUUUUAUAAAAAAAGAGAGAGGGAAUAAAAUGAAUUUCCCAAAAUAAAGAAAUAUUGGAGAUUUAAUAAUAAAAUCAAAUAAGAUUUUAUUUCGGAGUUUUAUCGCUAUUUUAUUUUGAAUUAGGAAAAUGCGCGUUUUUCAAAAUUGCAUUUUAGGCCCAAGUAAAUGUUCAUCUUGUCCGGCUUAUUUUUAAAGGACAGGGAAAAUUUAUUUCGGGAUUUUUGGAGUCUGUUUGGUAUUUCUUUUCUUUCUUUUUCUGCAUGUCGGAAUUAUUAUUUUUUAAAGGAAACCGACUUCGGGCCGUACCCGGCCUAGACUCUUCGGGCCGGCCCUUAUAAGUUGCCGCCCCGGCGCCCCAGCGCACCCCAGCCGCCUGCGCCCCCAAACCCUAACCCUAAGCCGCCGCUGCCGCCGCCGGUUGCCGCCGUCGCCCCACCGCCUCGCGCUGCCGCCGACCCCGCCGCCCCUUGNNNNNNNNNNNNNNNNNNNNNNNNNNNNNNNNNNNNNNNNNNNNNNNNNNNNNNNNNNNNNNNNNNNNNNNNNNNNNNNNNNNNNNNNNNNNNNNNNNNNNNNNNNNNNNNNNNNNNNNNNNNNNNNNNNNNNNNNNNNNNNNNNNNNNNNNNNNNNNNNNNNNNNNNNNNNNNNNNNNNNNNNNNNNNNNNNNNNNNNNNNNNNNNNNNNNNNNNNNNNNNNNNNNNNNNNNNNNNNNNNNNNNNNNNNNNNNNNNNNNNNNNNNNNNNNNNNNNNNNNNNNNNNNNNNNNNNNNNNNNNNNNNNNNNNNNNNNNNNNNNNNNNNNNNNNNNNNNNNNNNNNNNNNNNNNNNNNNNNNNNNNNNNNNNNNNNNNNNNNNNNNNNNNNNNNNNNNNNNNNNNNNNNNNNNNNNNNNNNNNNNNNNNNNNNNNNNNNNNNNNNNNNNNACCGAUCCCGCCGCCCGCCGAUGUCGCCUCGCCCGCCGCUGAUGCCGCCGUCCACCGCCGACCUUGCCGGACCCCGCCGCCGGAGGUAGCCCGCCGCCGCCGCGGUUUUCUUCGGAAAACCGUACGGUUUUGUUAGGAACCCCGGUUAUUUUUAUUUUUUUAGAUUGUUUUUUUCUGGUUUAGUUUAUUUCGUGGAUGUUCGUCCGUACGUUUUUUUUAACAAAUGGUUUUCGCCAUUUAGCCGCAGAUAGCGAACGUUCAUUCGUUAGCCUGUUCGUUAGUUUUUCUUUUCUCGGGUUUUUUACGAUUAUUCUCGAUCGCGAUUUCUGAUCCGAUUUUUGUUUUAGUAUAACUUUCCGCUCCUUUAUCGGAAUCAGGUGAUUCAAGCGCCUAGAGUUUCGUGUCGAAACCCUCUUUCCGUUUAACCAACUCAAACAAGUUUUGCUACUAUAAAAUUUGACUUAGGUCUAGAUUAGUAAACGAAGCUUGUUUCUUUCGCCGUUUGAGUUUCGUUGCUUCGUUUGAUUUGACUCUUUUUGCAAACCAGUGUUCUUAAGUUGAACUGUCUAGUUAGAUCUCUUAUUUGAGUUUUACCCGUGCAUUAGAUGAAUGGUUAUUGUAUGCUUGUUUGUUUGCGAUAGAGUACUCGGAGUGCGCAUCGUGCUACUACGAGUCUCUAGGUUUCAUGGAUCAUCAGCAAGGCAAGUAACACUUUGAUCAUACCUCUUUACUAUCCAGUUUUAUUGCAUUAGAUCAAUCCUCAAACAAUUGCAUGGUUAGGAUCUAAUUAGUAUGUGGGUUUUGGGAAGUAGAUGAGGUAGUACCUAUUACCUGUUUAUUAUCAAACCUUUGGGAGUUACUUCUACGUUUGCUUAUAUUGCUAUGCUAUGCUAGUAGACGUGGAUUGGGUGAGUGUAUCCAUGACAGAUGUGAGAUUGUUAAUUAAUGGUUCAACUUAAGGUGGCAACUUUAAUACACAUCUGGGUGGAUUGAGGCACCUGGGGAACCCAGUGUUGCCUGUAUUUUUGGAAAUCCCAGGGUACCGUGUGAUUCUCCUAUGGACUGCCACCCAGGCUCAAAGGGAUCAUAAGAUUAUUCAUGCUAGAAACUUCCGUGUGCAGUCGCAAGCUACUAUGGGCUAUAGCAUAGUUGAGUAUGUUGUGUGACCUCUUUCAGUGGUAGACUAGCAGAUGUAGGGGAUGUAGGUUGGUACUGUCUACCCAGAGUAAAGAGUUAAUGCUUUUGAAAUACUGUGUCUUAGUCAUCCGUUUCUCAAACAUCAUGUAGUGCGAUAAAUCCAAUGGCGGAGAUGGAGUCUUGCGGGGAAAAGUGCGCAAACCUCUGCAGAGUGUACAAACCAAUCAUGGUUAGCCGUGUCCCCGGUUAUGGACGUUUUGAGUAUCUAGUUUCUUGUAUUAUCACGUGAAUCUCAUCAUGUUACUUAAUUUAAUUUGAUUGGGUUAAUGAUGAUGCUUAAUUCAGAUUGAGUUGGAGGAACCUUCUCAAUGUUUAACAACCACCAUGAUAGUUAAAUAAAAUUUAUUAUUUUGUUGUAGGAAAAAAUUGGCUUUAUGCAAAACUGUAACCAUAGAGCUUUCCACCAGCCAUAUAUGCAUGUAGUGAUAGAAUUAUUAUGUUCAUUAUUCUCUAUGUGUUACAUUGCCAGCAUAUUCCAUGUACUGACCCAUUUUGGGGCUGCAUCGUUCAUGUUGCAGACUUUUCAGACGACGAGUAAGGUGCUUUAGGUCAUGAUCUUCCACUCAGUGAUGCCGUUGGAGUUGAUGGAUUCGCUUUAUCUUCCAAGCCUUCCGCUGUCAUCGUUAUUAGAUGGCCUUAAGCCAUAUUUAUUGUAAUAAGUUCUCUUUUGAUACAUUUCAUGUAAUAAGUGUGUGAUUGCUACUCUGUUAUAAAUCCUUCAAGUAAUGUGUGUGUCAGCAUUACCAAUCCAGGGAUGACACUGAUGCACAGAGAUUAGACUGUUUGAGGUCUGGUUGCUACAUGAUCCCAUAUCAUCACAUAGCCUAUACCAUGUCAACGCCUCUCCCUUCAAAGAUAAAGGGAAGACCUUCUUCUUGAUAACAUCAUCAGGCAUACUUGCAAGCUUAAAUAAUCCAGAAACUUCAUCCACAUAGAUUAGGUGUAAAUCGGGAUGCAAUGUUUCAUCUCCUGUAAAGGGAUUAGCUAACAGUUUCUCUACCAUACCCGAAGGAAUUUCAAAGUAAAAAUUUUCAGUAGGUUCAGUAGGUUCAGGAGCAACUCUUUGCUCUACUGGUCGGGGUGAAGAUACCCCGAACAAGCCCCUCAAAGGAUUAUGUUCCAUAGUAACAAGUGACAGUAAAUUUCAGCACACUAUAUAAAUUUUUCCUUACCAAGUCCCACUUACCAAAGGCGCUUCACUCCCCGGCAACGGCGCCAGAAAAGAGUCUUGAUGACCCACAAGUGUAGGGGAUCUAUCGUACUCCUUUUGAUAAGUAAGAGUGUCGAACCCAACGAGGAGCAGAAGGAAAUGACAAGAGGUUUUUAGUAAGGUAUUCUCUGCAAGCACUAUCGGUAACAGAUAGUUUUGUGAUAAGGUAAUUUGUAAGGGGUAACAAGCAAUGAAAUUAAACAAGGUGCAGCAAGGUGUCCCAAUCCUUUUUUUAUCAAAGGACAAGCCUGGACAAGUUCUUAUAUAGAGAAAAGUGCUCCCGAGGACACGUGGGAAUUAUCGUCAAGCUAGUUUUCAUCACGCUCAUAUGAUUCGCGUUCGUUACUUUGAUAAUUUGAUAUGUGGGUGGGCUAGUGCUUGGGUACCGCCCUUUCUUGGACAAGCAUCCCACUUAUGAUUAACCCCUAUUGCAAGCAUCUGCAACUACAAAAGAGGUAUUAAGGUAAACCUAACCAUAGCAUGAAACAUAUGGAUCCAAAUCAGCCCCUUACGAAGCAACGCAUAAACUAGGGUUUAAGCUUCUGUCACUUUAGCAACCCAUCAUCUACUUAUUACUUCUCAAUGCCUUCCUCUAGGCCCAAAUAAUGGUGAAGUGUCAUGUAGUCGAUGUUCACAUAACACCACUAGAGGAGAGACAACAUACAUCUCAUCAAAAUAUCGAACAAAACCAAAUUCACAUGACUACUUAUAGCAAGACUUCACCCAUGUCCUCAGGAACAAACGUAACUACUCACAAAGCAUAUUCAUGUUCACAAUCAGAGGAGUAUUAAUAUGCAUUAAGGAUCUAAACAAAUGAUCUUCCACCUAAUAAACCAACUAGCAUCAACUACAAGGAGUAAUCAACACUACUAGCAACCCACAUGUACCAAUCUGAGGUUUUAGUACAAAGAUUGGAUACAAGAGAUGAACUAGGGUUUGAGAGGAGAUGGUGCUGGUGAAUAUGUCGAUGGAGAUUGACCCCCUCCCAAUGAGAGGAUCGAUGGUGAUGGCGAUGGUGAUGAUUUCCCACUCCCGGAGGGAAGUUUCCCCGGCAGAACAGCUCCGCCAGAGCCCUAGAUUGGUUCCGCCAAGGUUCCACCUCGUGGUGGCGGAGUUUCAUCCCAAAAGCUUGCUUAUGAUUUUUUUCCAGGGUAAAAGACUUCAUAUAGCAAAAGAUGGCCACCGGAGGGCUGCCAGGGGGCGCGCCCAGGGGGGUAGGAUGCGCCCCCACCCUCAUGGCCAGGGUGUGGGCCCCCUCUGGUAUUUCUUCCGCUCAGUAUUUUUUAUUAAAUCCAAAAAUGACUUUCAUGGAUUUUCAGGACUUUUGGAGCUGUGCAGAAUAGGUCUCUAAUAUUUGCUCCUUUUCCAGCCAAAAAUCCCAGCUACCGACAUUCUCCGUCUUCAUGUAAACCUUGUAAAAUAAGAGAGAAUAGCCAUAAGUAUUGUGACAUAACGUGUAAUAAUAGCCCAUGAUGCAAUAAAUAUCGAUAUAAAAGCAUGAUGCAAAAUGGACAUAUCACGAUUCCGUGGGGAUACUUCUCUCCGGGAGGGGAAAAUCAAAGCUAUCGCCAUCACCAACAACACUCUCAUCGUGGGAGGAUCAAUCUUCAUCAACAUCUCAACCCCUAGUUCAUAUCUUGUAUUCAAUAUUGUCUCAGAACCUCAGAUUAGUACCUAUGGGUGGCUAGUAGUGUUGAUUACAUCUUGUAUAGUUGGUUUAUUUGGUGGAAGAUUAUAUAUUCGGAUCCUUGAUGCUAUUCAAUACCCCUCUGAUUUGGAACAUGGUUAUGAUUCGUGAGUAAUUAGUUUUGUUCUUAAGGACAUGGGAGAAGUCUUUUCAUGAGUAAUCAUGUGAAUUUGGUAUUCGUUUCAUAUUUUGAUGAUAUGUAUGUUGUUGUUUCCCUUAGUGUUGUUAUGUGAACGUCGAUUACAUCCCACUUUAUCAUAUUUGGGCCUAAGGGAAUGCAUUGUGGAGUAGUAAUUAGAUGAUGGGUUGCUAGAGUGAUAGAAACUUAAACCCUAUUUUAUGCGUUCUUCCGUAAGGGACUGAAUUGGAUUCAUAUGUAUCAUGCUAUGGUUGGAUUUAUCUUAAUUCUUCUUUCAUAGUUUUGGAUGCUUGCGAGACGGGGUAAUCAUAAUUAAGUGGGAGGCGUGUUCAAGUAAGAACAUCAGCCAAGCACCGGUCCACCCACAUAUCAAAUUAUUAAAGUAGCGAACGCGAAUCAAACCAACAUGAUGAAAGUGACUUGACGAAAUUCCCAUGUGUCCUCAAGAAUGCUUUGCUUAUUAUAAGAGACUGUUUCGGUCUGUCCUUUGCUACAAAAAUGAUUUGGCUACUGUGCUGCACUUUUGUUAAAAUUGUCACUUGUUGCUUGUUACAAAUUAUCUUGCUAUCAUACUAUCUGUUACCGAUAAUUUCAGUGCUUGCAGAAAAUACCUUGCUGAAAACUGUUUGUCAUUUCCUUCUGCUCCUCGUUAGGUUCGACACUUUUACUUAUCGAAAGGACUAAGAUUGAUUCCCUAUACUUGUGGGUCAUUAAGACUCUUUUCUGGCGCCGUUUCUCAGGAGUGAAGCAAUUUGGUGAGUGGAAUUUGGUAAGGAAACAUUUAUGUCACAUGUUGAAAUUUACUGUCACUUUUUAUUAUGGAAAAUAAUCCUUUGAGAAGUUUGUUCGCGGUAUCUUCACCUCGAACGGAGGCACAAAGAGUUGCCCCUCAACCUAGUUCACUUACUUAAAAUGUUUAUUAUGAGAUCCCUUUGGUAUGAUAGAGAAACUGCUAGCUAAUCCUUAUGCAGGAGAUGGAACAAUACAUCCCGAUAUGCACUUAAUCUAUAUAGAUGAAGUUUGUGGGUUAUUUAAGCUUGCAAGUUUAUCCGAAGAUGGACUUAAGAAGAAGAUUUUCCCUUUAUCUUUGAAGGGAAAGGCAUUAACAUGGUAUAGGCUAUGUGAUGAUAUUUGAACGUGGGAUUGGAACCGAUUAAAUUGGAAUUUCAUCAGAAGUUUUAUCCUAUGCAUCUGUUUUAUCGUGAUUGGAUAUAUAUAUAUAUAAUUUUUGGCCUCGUGAAGGAGAAAGUAUCUCUCAAGCUUGGGGAAGGCUUAAGUACAUGAUGUACACAUGCCCAAUAAUGAGCUCUCAAGAGAAAUUAUCUUACAAAAAUUUUAUGCUCGACUUUCUCAUAGAGAUAAAACCAUGCUCGAUUCUCUACUGGUUCCUUUAUGAAGAAAACUAUUGAAUUCAGAUGGGAUCUUCUAGAAAGAAUUAAACGCAACUCUGAAGAUUAGGAACUCGAUAAAGGUAAAGAGUCAGGUAUAAAAAUUGAGUUCGAUUGUGUUAAAUAUUUUAUGGAUACUAAUGCUUUUCAUAAGUUUAGCACUAAAUAUGGGCUUGACUAUGAGAUUAUAGCCUCUUUUGUGAAUCAUUUGGUACUCAUGUUGAUCUGCCUAAGGAGAAAUGGUUUAAAUAUCAUCCUCCUAUUGAAUAAAAUAUUGAGGAACCCGUUAUAUAUAGUUAAAGAUGAAACCAUCAUUUGCAAUGUUGAUCUAGUUGUGCCUACUGCUUAUAUUGAGAAACAUCAUUUUCCUGUUAGGCCUAAGAACAUGCUAAAGUUUAAAUUGUGGUUAACAAGAAUAAUAUUAGAGCACCUAGACCCUUUGAACAAAUUAAAGUUGAAUCUAAUAUUGUUAUGGUUAAAGAUCUCUUAGUUGAUAAUAUUGAUGGGCAUGUUAUUUACUUCUGUGAUGAAUUAACUAGGAUUGCUAAACCUAAUACUAGAGAUAAGAAUAAACAUGUUGUUGGCAUGCCUGUUGUCUCUGCUAAAAUAGGAGAUCAUUUUUACCAUGGUUUAUGUGAUGUGGGUUCUAGUGUGAGUGCUAUUCCAUUUACCUUAUAUCAAGAGAUUAUGAAUGAUAUUGCACCUGCUGAAAUAAAAGACAUGAAUGUUGCUAUUAAGCUUGCGAAUACAAAUACUAUUUCAUCACUUGGGAUUGUUAGAGAUGUUGAAGUCUUGUGUGGAAAGAUCAAAUACCCUACUGAUUUUCUAAUAUUGGUUCUCCACAAGAUGAUUUUUGUCCCAUUAUAUUCGAUAGACCUUUUCUGAAUAUAGUUAAUGCUAAGAUAGACUGUAAUAAAGAAACUGUUAGUGUUAACUUUGGUGACGCAACUCAUGAGUUUAAUUUCUCUAAGUUCCGUAAACAACCUCAUGAUAAAGAAGCGUAGUCAGGAUGAAAUUGUUGGUCUUGCUUCUAUUGUCGUACCUUCUACUGAUCCGUUAGAACAAUAUUUGAUAGACCAUGAAAAUGAUAUGCAUAUGAAUGAAAUAAAUGAAAUAAAUGAAAUAGAUAGACUAUUCUUUGAUCAAACACCUAUCUAAACAUAAUUUUCUUGUGCUCUUGGAGGUCCUCCUCCACCAAAGGGUGUUCCUAUGUUUGAGUUGAAGCAAUUUUUUGAUACAUUGAAAUAUGUUUAUUUUUAUGAAAAUAAGAUAUAUCCUGUUAUUAUUAGUGCUAACCUUUCAGAGUAUGAAGAAAAGAGAUUACUUAAAACUCUGAGGAAGCAUCAUGAUGCUAUUGGAUUUACUCUUGAUGAUCUUAAGGGCAUUAGUCCCAUUCUAUGUCACCACAAGAUUAAUAUGGAGCCUGAUGCUAAGCCAGUCGUUGAUCAUCAAUGACAGUUAAAUCCUAAGAUGAAGGAUGUGGUAAGAAUUGAAAUAUUAAAGAUUCUGGAAGCAGGUAUAAUUUACCCCAUAGCUGAUAGUAGAUGAGUAAGUCAUGUUCAUUGUGUUCCUAAGAAAGGAGGUAUAACCGUUAUUCCUAAUGAUAAAAAUGAACUCAUCCCACAAAGAAUUGUAAGUGGUUAUAGGAUGGUAAUUGAUUUCAGAAAAUUAAACAAAACUACUAGAAAAGAUUAUUACCCCCUGCCUUUUAUUGAUCAAAUGUUAGAAAGAUUAUCUAAGCAUACAUACUUUUGUUUCCUUGAUGGAUAUUCUGGUUUCUCUCAAAUACCUGUGUCAAAAGAAGUUCAAGAGAAAACAACUUUUACUUUCCCUUUUGGAACUUAUGCCUAUAGAUGUAUGCCUUCUGGUUUAUGCAACACACCUGCUACCUUUCAAAGAUGUAUGACUGCUAUAUUCUCUGAUUUUUGUGAAAAGAUUGUUGAGGUUUUCAUGGAUGAUUUCUCCGUUUACUUGACUUCUUUUGAUGAUUGCUUAAGCAACCUUGAUCGAGUUUUGCAGAGAUCUGAGGAAACUAAUCUUGUCUUGAAUAGGGAGAAGUGCCACUUUAUGGUAAAUGAAGGUAUUGUCCUCGUCCAUCAAAUUUCUAAAUGAGGAAUUGAAGUAGAUAAAGCUAAAGUUGAUGCAAUUGAGAAAAUGCCAUGUCCUAAAGAUAUUAAAGGUACAAGAAGUUUCCUUGGUCAUGCUGGUUUCUAUAGGAGAUUCAUUAAAAAAUUCUCUAAAAUUUCUAGGCCUCUUACCAAUCUCUUACAAAAAGAUGUGCCAUUUGUUUUUGAUGAUGAUUGUGUAGAAGCCUUUGAAACACUUAAGAAAGCCUUAACCUUCACACCUAUUGUUCAACCACCUAAUUGGAACUUGCCUUUUGAAAUUAUGUGUGAUGCUACUGAUUAUGUUGUGGGUGAUGUUCUAGGAUAAAGAGUUGAUAAAAAAUUAAAUGUUAUCCAUUAUGCUAGUAAAACUCUAGACAGUGCUCAAAGAAAUUAUGCCACUACCGAAAAGAAAUUUUAGUAGUUGUUUUUGCAUGUCAUAAAUUCAUAUCCUAUAUUGUGGACUCUAAAGUAACCGUGCAUACCGAUCAUGCUGCUAUCAAAUAUCUUAUGGAAAAGAAAGAUGCUAAACCUAGGUUGAUUAGAUGUGUUUUGUUGCUACAAGAAUUUAACUUGCAUAUUACUGAUAGGAAGUGAGAAUCCCGUAGAUGAUAAUUUAUCUAGGUUGGAAAAUGUUCUUGAUGAUCCACUUCCUAUUGAUAGAAGUUUUUCUGAUAACAAUUAGUUGUUAUAAAUGCUUCUCGUAAUACUCCUUGGUAUGCACACUAUGCUAAUUACAUUGUUGCUAAAUAUAUACCACCUAGUUUCACAUACCAACAAACAAAAAGUUCUUAUUUGAGUUAAGACAUUACUUUUGGGACGACCCACAUCUUUAUAAAGAAGGAUUAGAUGGUAUUAUUAGAUGUUGUGUACCUGAGCAUGAACAGGAACAAAUCCUACGGAAGUGUUAUUCUGAGUCAUAUGGAGGACACCAUGCUGGAGAUAGGACCGCACAUAAGGUAUUACAAUUUGGUUUCUAUUGACCUACUCUCUUCAAGGAUGCACGUAAAUUUGUCUUAUCUUGUGAUGAAUGUCAAAGGAUUGGUAAUAUUGGUAGACGUCAGGAAAUGCCUAUGAAUUUUUCACUUGUUAAACCAUUUUAUGUAUGGGGAUUUGAUUAUAUGAGACCUUUUUCUUCCUCUAAUGGGUACACUUCUAUUCUAGUUGCUGUUGAUUAUAUUACUAAGAGGGUAGAAGCUAUUCCAACUAGUAGUAUUGAUCAUAACACUUCAAUUAACAUGCUUAAAGAAGUUAUUUUUCCCGAGGUUUGGAGUCCCCAGAUAUUUAAUGACUGAUGGUGGUUCACAUUUUAUUCAUGGUGCUUUCCAAAAACUUCUUGCUAAAUAUGAUGUUAACCAUAGAAAUGCAUCACCUUAUCAUCCUUAGUCUAGUGGACAAGUUGAACUGAGCAAUAGAGAAAUCAAGUUAAUUUUGCAAAAGACCAUUAAUUGACCUAGAAAGAAUUGGUCUAAGAAACUUGAUAAUGCAUUAUGGGCUUAUAGAACUGCUUAUAAGAGUCCUAUGGGUAUGUCUCCAUAUAAAUGGUUUAUGAAAAGGCAUGUCACUUACCUCUUGAGCUAGAACAUAAAGCAUAUUGGGAAAUUAAACUUAACUAUGAUUUCAAACUUGCCGGUGAGAAGAGGUUAUUCGACAUUAGCUCGUUGGAUGAGUGGAGAACCCAAGCAUAUGAAAACACUAAGUUGUUUAAAGGAAAAGUUAAAAGAUGGCAUGAUAAAAGGAUCCAAAAACGGGAAUUCAAAGUGGGCUAGUAUGUUUUAUUGUACAACUCUCGUUUCAGAUUCUUUGUAGGAAUACUUCUCUCUAAAUGGGAAGGAUCGUAUAUCAUCCAAGAAUUUUAUCGUUUCGGGGCUAUCAAGAUCAAUAACUCUGAGGGCACUAAUCCGAGGGUGGCCAAUGGAAAAAUAAUUAAACAUUAUAUCUCAGGUACACCUAUUAAUGUUGAACCUAACAUUACUCAAACUAUGACACCGGAGGAAUACAUAAGAGAGACCUUCCAGAACACUCGAGAACCCUGAAAAGGAAUAGGUACGUGAUAUGGUAAGUAAACUGACUCCAAAAAUUCCAUAAAAAUAUUUCUUGUCCGUUUUAGAAUGUUAGAAAAAAUAUAAAAAUAAGAAAUAGCUGAGGGGACCCAUGAGGUGCACACAAGGCACCUGGGCACAUCCACCCCCUGGGCACACCCUGGUGGCUUGUGGGCCCCUCAUGUGCCUUCCUGACUCUGUUUUCUUCUAGAAUACUGGUUUUGCAAGAUAAAAAUUCUUUAUAUAUACUAUCGGAAGUUUUGACCACCGUAUCGCAGAAAUCUCCUCUGUUCUUGUUUCGUGCUAUUUUUCUGAAAGAUGUAGAUUGCCAUGGCUCCACCAAGCUCCUCCAAGGACAAGUUCUAUGAGAAGGUCAUCAACCCCUACCUACCGAAGGUGAUGAAACACCCUCAAGCCAUUGAGAUGCGUAAAGGGGUGCUUCACAUCUGGGACGUUCAAGGGCCCAAGAAGAACGAAAGCGUGGAGGCCAGGCUCGAAGUAGUGGAGCAUGAGAUCUUUAAGUGCCAAGGGAUGGUGGAACGCGGACUCAAUGCCAACCACUCCAUGACCACGGAAUUCACCCGUGAGCACAAGGUGGAUGACAAGGCGAUUGGGUACACUAUCUUCAAGCUCAACAAUCAAAUCGACUAUCUCCAGACCCAAAUCUAUGAUCUCUAGAAUCAAAAUUUUGAGUAUGACUGUAUGAGGCAAGAUUUAAAGUUAUGAGUUUAGCUGCAAGUUUCAGGACUCCAGAGACUUGUUCAUCCUUUUAUGAUGACGAACCUAUGAUUUGGAAGCCGGAGGAAAAGCCCACCACUUCAUCACCACCAUCAUCAUCGAAGAAAGAAACUUGAGUACAUGGGUAUGGGCACUCCCCUCGGCUUAGGCCAAGCCUGGGGGAGGUGCCCCGGUAGUGUAUCACCAUCACUUUUAAUAUAUUUACCUAUCCUAGUUCUAUCCUUACUUAUUUCAUGAUUUAGUAGAAUAAAAGUUCAGUAUGAUCUAUUUUCGAGUGCUAGUUUCAUGAUCUAUCUAUCUUUGUAAUCGAUUUGAGAGUUAUAUUAUAAAGAGUAGUCUGAAUUUUGCUUCUUUACUUUUAUGUUUCAACCUUAGCAAUGAAAAUCAUGAAAACAUCAUAUGCUAAUCCCAUCGAAAGUAAUGACUUAACAUAAAUAACGAUAAAAUUUGUUGGAAGUUAACAAACAUAGUAGUGGUCAAUGAUGCAAUUCAUGAAAGAUUAAUAGGGAAGAGAAGAAUCACAUAUAAUAAUACUAUCUUAGACAUCAUUUAUGAUUGUGAGCCCCCAUUAAAUAUUCUAUGUCAAAUUUUUGACGUUGGACAAGGAAGAUAAAGUAAUGAAUUAUGUUUGCUUAUAUUCACAUAGAAGUUAUAUUGUUAUAGAUCCUCCAACAUGUGGUGCUUGCUCAAUAUCUUUGCUAGCCAAAAAUCUGCACCAAGUAGAGAUACUACUUGUGCAUCCAAAAUCCUCAAACCCAGUUUCAUGUUCUAAGAGUCCACCAUAUCUACCUAUAGAUUGAAUAAGAUCCUUCAAGUAAGUUUUCAUCGGUGCAUCAAGCAAUAAAAAAUGCUCCUAAAUAUGUAUGAUCUUUUAUUAUAAGGGAAAAUAAGCUUUGUACGAUCUUGUGAUGGUAAAGAAAUAAAAGCGACAAACUGCAUAAUAAAGGUUGCUAUCACAAGGGGCAAUAUAAAGUGACGUUCCUUUGCAUUAAGAGCUUGCACAUCCAAAAGUAAAAACCGCAUGAAAACCUCUGCUUUCCUCUGCGAAGGGCCUAUCUUUUACCUUUAUGUAUUUACUUUUCAUGCAAGAUUCAAUAGUGUUCUCCUCUUUUCCUUUUUUAUUUUUCUCUUUUGCAAGCAUCAUGUGGUGGAGAAAGAUCUAGACAUAUAUAUCUAGUUGGAUAUGAGUGAUCAUGAGUUAUUACUGUUGACAUUGCCCUUGAGGUAAAUGAGUUGGGUGGCAAAACUAUAAGCCUCUAUCUUUCUAUGUGUCUGACUAAAACUUUUGCUCCAUAUAUAUAUAUGUCGUGAGUGUCAGUAAUCAUAGAAAACUAAAUGAUAGUUCAGUAUGUGGACUUGCUAAACAAAAGCUCUUACAUGAGACCUUUCCUAAAAUUAUGAUGAAUUGUAAUUGCCUUGUUGACUGAGAACAUAGUUUGUUAGUUUACAAGAAUAUUUGUGCUUUAUACUUUGUUGUUGUAAUGAAUUGUUACUUGCUCAUGAGAAGUUCUAUGAUAAUAUAUAUUGCUGCUAUAAUGAUGAUCAUGAUGGUACUAUGUUCAUAUUUUGUUUUUAUCGACACCUGUCUCUCUAAUAUCUGGUCAUGAUUAUCGACAUUGGCUUUCGCUUGAGGGAGUUGAUACGUCCAUUUUGCAUCAUGUUUCCCUACUGUUAUUUAUAAUUUUUUUAAUCAAUAUAAUACUUUGUGGAGCAAUUCUAAUGUCUUUUCUCUCUUAAUUUGCAAGAUUUACAUGAAGAGGGAGAUUCCCGACAGCUGGAAUUCUAGACCAAAAAAACUAUGUCAGAUAUACCUAUUCUGCACAACUCCAAAUGAGCUGACCAUUUGACCUAGAAAAAAAUAAGGAGAGGACUUUCGGGACGGAGCACCGCUGUCUCGAGACAGAACUCGGGCAGGAGAACUUUUGCUCUCCGGUGGAGCGAUUCCAACGAGGAUACUUGCCUCUAGGAGGGGGAAAUGAAGCUAUCGUCAUCACCAACAACCCUCUCAUCAUGGUGGAUUAAUCUUCAUCAACAUCUUCACCAUCACCAUCUUAUCUCAGACUCUAGUUCAUCUCUUAUAUUCAAUCGUUGUCUCAAAACCUCAUAUUGGAACCUGUGGGUUGCUAGUGUUGAUUACAUCUUGUAGUUUAUGCUAGUUGGUUUAUUUGGUGCAAGUUUAUAUGUUCAGAUCCUUGAUGCUAUUCAAUACCCCUCUGAUCUUGAACAUGAUUAUGUUUUGUGAGUAGUUACUUUUAUUCUUGAGGACAUGGGAGAAUUCUUGUCAUAAGUAAUCACGUGAAUUUGAUAUUCGUUUGAUUUUUUAUUGUUUCCCUUAGUAGUGUUAUGUGAACGUCGAUUGCGUGACACUUUACCAUAUUUGGGCCUAAGGGAAUGCAUUGUGGAGUAGUAAUUAGAUGAUGGGUUGCUAGAGUGACAGUAACUUAAACUCUAGUUUAUGCGAUGUUCUGUAAGAGGCUGAUUUGGAUCCAUAUGUUUCAUGCUAUGGUUAGAUUUAUCUUAAUUCUUUUUUCAUAGUUGUGGAUGCUUGCGAGAGGGGUAAUCAUAAGUGGGAGGCUUGUUCAAGUAAUAACAGCACCCCAGCACCAGCCCAUCCACAUAUGAAAUUAUCAAAGUAACAAACGCGAAUUAAACAAACAUGAUGAAAGUGACUAGAUAGAAUUAUCAUGUGUCCUCAAGAAUGCUUUUCUACAAAAGGAUUGGGCUACCUUGUUGCAGUUUUGUUACAAUUGUUACUUGUUGCCUGUUACAAAUUAUCCUACCAAACUAUCUGUUACCAAUAAUUCUAGUGCUUGCAGAAAAUACAUUGCUGAAAAUCGCUUGUCAUUUCCUUCUGCUCCUCGUUGGGUCCGACACUCUUACUUUUCAAAAGGACUAUGAUUGAUCCCCUAUAUUUGUAGGUCAUCAACUACCACUCUAGCAGAUGCGCUGCUUCCCAUGCCGCAUUAAUGCUGGCCCAGAGCUGCAGCAGCCGAUAUUGAUGUUGCAUGNNNNNNNNNNNNNNNNNNNNNNNNNNNNNNNNNNNNNNNNNNNNNNNNNNNNNNNNNNNNNNNNNNNNNNNNNNNNNNNNNNNNNNNNNNNNNNNNNNNNNNNNNNNNNNNNNNNNNNNNNNNNNNNNNNNNNNNNNNNNNNNNNNNNNNNNNNNNNNNNNNNNNNNNNNNNNNNNNNNNNNNNNNNNNNNNNNNNNNNNNNNNNNNNNNNNNNNNNNNNNNNNNNNNNNNNNNNNNNNNGGGGCGACGUUGGCCUACGUGACCAUGCGCGUGAUGAUAUUUUGAUGGGUUUAAUUUUAGUGCACUAAGCGGAUAAGCUCAAAUGUUUUAUCUCGCUUAUUUCAAGAUACAACCUACAACUGUUCCAGCAUGGGUCGGGCUUGUAGCUCGGGACCAAUAGGGACAGGUUUUCUUUCUAAUUUUUGCAUUGUUUUUUAAGGUCAUCUUCAACGCUGACCAGCAAAUUCCUUCGGUAUAUGUCCGUUUUUAUGUCUGGACAUGGUCCGCGGACAUGAUAUGGGAGGGAGGCAUCCAAUGCUAAUCACAAAGUAUCUGGCUGGGAGGAGAAAAUGAAAGUGGUGACCAUGCAUGUCGUGGGGUGGUUUAGUCUCCGGUUGGGAAGAGAGAGAGAAGAGGGGACCAUGCAUGUGCGGAUGCGAGGAGAGAGAGAAGAGAGGGAUUAUGCAUGCGAUUAGUCAAGUGCAUGUCCGGACUUUGACAAAGCCCCCCAUGUUUGUCUCUUGGAUACCAGAAUCUGUACGUCCGGACUGCUAAGCGGAUAUAUACAUGGCCCCAUUGGUUGGCACAAGUGGUCCGGACACUGCGGUCCAGAUAUAUAGUGAAGGUUUGAGGGUCCACCUUGGAGAUGUCCUAAUCUAGUUUUCGUGCUUUUCAAGUGGUUUUUUAUCCGAUUUUCAUGUGGUAGUUUCAUUUUUUAACUAACUUCUUUUGUGUUCAUUCCUUUUUCUUUGUUAUUUUCUUCCUUUUCUUUUCUUUCUUUUUCUGUGAAAAGAUCAAAUCUAUUAUUAAGAUUCACCGGAAGUACAAAUACCUCAAACAUAAUAAAAAGUUACAUCCAGGUCCAUGGACCACCAUUGCCGCCGCCAGAACGAGUCGCCGACGCGCUGCUGUCGCCGCUCCCAUACCGGAGUCGGCCUGACCUUGUCGAUGACAACUGAGAAGUCUUCGUGCACGUGCCCCUAUAGACCAGCGUCCCGGUGCCGUAGUUGCUGUCGUUGAAUCCUUGAAUGGAUUUGAAUAAUUUGACACCAAAAAAUCAUUGUUGUGUACGCACAGCGAGAAAUCCUAACCUCACCGCCCCAAUGAGCUGGCAGGAAUCUACGUCGAAGCUCUGUCUAAUCCGUCCCAGCAGACGAACUUGAGGAGGAUCGGAGCCCGGAUGAUUGACUCGAAGAAGAAAAGCCGCCAUCCAUCCAAAUGCCACCCUUUGGGAGAACUAAAACCCUACCUAUCUACUAGCCAGAGACAAGGCACCAGAAAUCCCCUCCCCGCCACCGGCCACCGGAGCAGCAGGCGGAGGGGAGACGAAUCCACGGGCUCGCCGAUGAAGAUCGAGGGAGGAAGGCUUUCCCUAGUUGUCUUGUGAGAGUUCUUGCUUUUCUUUUUGUUUCUUUAUUAUUCUAUUUUUUAAUUACAUAUAAAAAAAUAACUCAAACAUUUUCUAUUUUCCUUUUGUAUUCCUAUUCAUUUUCUAUAAAAGUAUCUAAAUGUCAUUUAAACAACAAACAAACAAUUAUAAAUUGCUUCUUUAACAUUGCAUGAAUAUUUUGUUCAAAAGGCAUGAACAUUUUUUAAACUCACAUGGACAUUAGUGCAUCAAACACUUUUUAUGUACAUUAACAGUUUUAAAAAUGCAUCGAACACUUUUUAAUCACAUGAACAUUCUAAAAUGCGUCAAACACUUCUUUGAAUUACACAAACAUUUUACAAAGGUGUUUUGAACAAUUUCUGUAAUUACAUGAACAUUUCUUAAAAUGCACCAAACACAUUUUUGUAUUACAUGAGUAUUUUUGAAAAAUGCAUUGAACACUUUUUACAUUACAUGAACAAUUUGUUUAAUAAAUAACUAUUUAUAUUUUGCCAAUUCCUCCUUUGUGGCAGAGUGACACUACUAGGAAAAGGCCUACUAGUGACACACAGUGGUGCAACAUUAGUAAAAAAUACUAGUGGCGCACCGAUAGUGCACCAUUAGUAUGCCUAGAGGUGCGUCAUUACUAUCUCACUUAGUAAUGGCGCACCACAUAGGAGUGCGCCAUUAGUAACAAUUUUUUUUCGAAUGUUUUUUUUGUUUUUUCUUAAUCUCGGGUCAAUAUGCUUAAUCUCAGGUCAAAUCAUACUCUGUGAUCAAACUUCGCGAAAUGUCACCCAUCCUCACACUACUCCAGCCCAAGCACGCUUAACUUCAGAGUUCUAUCCAACCCCAACACCAGCUCACUUCACAGGCACUUGUUGAUAUAUCUAGCAUAUCAAUCUUAUUAAAUCUUGUUGAUGUUUAGGACUUUGUUCAUGUUCAUGAGUGUGAUGAAAUUUUGAAAAAUUAUUUCAAACUUCCGUUCAUAUUACGUAUCAUAUUUUGAAAAAAAAUCCCGAAAAAAAAAUUCGAAACUAUUUUCUUUUCUGUUACUAGUGGCGCACCUAGCAAACAGUGUGCCACUAGUAAGUUUGAAUUUUUUUGCCUCUAGAUCUUGAAAGCCCCGUAACUUUUUUUCUGUUAGGUUUUUGAGGAUUUUGAAAAUGUUUAACGGGGUUCCUGAGAGAUUUUUCAUAUAAAAAACUUUUUAAUCUGAGUUCGUAUGCAAAAUUUAUGCCCAUUUUACAAAUUCCUGAGAGAUUUUGCAAAUAAAGUCGAAAUUCAUAUUCAUAAAUUUCCCAACAACUAGACCACAUAUCGCAUGCCAAACUUAUUUUCUUUUAUUUUUUUGACAUUUCCAUUAUUUUCUUUUAUUUUUUAAAAAACUGAGAAGGCGGUCCAGGGGGUGGGGGUGCAUUCGGGGGGAUUUUUGGUCAAAAUUAGUAAUGACGCACUGUGGGUAUGGUGCGCCAUUACUAGUUAGUAAUGGCGCACCACACCCACGGUGCGUCAUUACUAACUUUGAAAAAAUAAAGAAAAAUAAAAAAAUUGUUAGUAAUGGCGCACCCUUACUAGUUUUAACUACUAAUGGCGUACCAGACCCACGGUGCGUCAUUACUAACUUUGAAAAAUAAAAUAAUAAAAGUUUGAAAAAAAAUUUAAAAAAAUUACUAGUGGCGCACUGUGGAUGUGGUGCGUCAUUACUAGUUUAACUAGUACACUAUCCCCUGGUGCGCCAUUACUAGUUUUGAAAAAAAAUAAAAAAAAUUAUUACUAAUGAUGCACCGUGGAUGUGGUGCGCUAUUAGUAUUUGGACACUAACGGCGCACCAACACAUGGUGCGCCAUUAGUAUAUACUAAUGGUGCACCACAUGUCUGGUGUGUCAUUAGUGUCCAUAUCAUCUAUAACCCUUUUCCUAGUAGUGUGAGCACCUUGACUAAGAUAAAAAUGACUCUUCCAUUCUUGUAGCCUAUUCUUGUUUAAUAAAUAGAUGUUGUUAUGUAGAACUUCAGGAACCUCAUUUCGUUUGAGAGACAGUGGAGUUUCUUCUUUCAACAUGUAUAUCAACGAGGGUGUCGGUGGCUUGAGUACCAUUUUCUAAUUAUAUGAACAUCUUUCGAAAAUGCAUUGAACACUUUUUUUAGAAAUUACAUGAACAAUUUUUAAAAAUGGCCAAACAUUUUUUUAAUUCCAUGGAAAUUUUUGUUAAUAAACGACCACUUCUAAUUAUAUUAACUUUAAAAAAAUGUACCAGACACUUAAAUUACUUGCACAUAUGUUUAAUAAUCUAUCAAAUACCUUUAUUAAUUACAUGAAUUUAUCUAAAAGAAAAAUUAUGUGAAAAUUUUAGAGUAGGUAAAUAUUUUGUAAAUACAUGGAUGCUUUAAAAAAAUACUUUAACAUCUAUUUUAGAAAAUAUGAACACUUUAAAAAGACAUGUGUGCAAUUUUGGAAGCACAUGAAUGGCUGGAAUAUUUUUAGACAUACAUUUUUUUACUCUUUCUACUUCUAAGUAAUUAUAUAUAAAUCAACAAGAUAUCUUUUCCGGAUUUGGGAGAAAAAAAAGUAUGCCGCACUGGUCGCAGCCCCGGCCCCUAGCUGCCACACAAAUGAGACUGUAGCAGUUGGAUUGGGCCUGCCCAGCUGCAGCUUUUCCGAGCGGGCUGAGCAGCGAGUAAGGCUCACGUAGCGGCAUUCUGGACCGCGCGGGGAGAGCAACGGUUAACAAAGUCGAGCUAAAGAUCUCGCGGAUAUGCAUACUUGUGGCUUUCGAGGUGAGCUCUCCGGAGCUUGGCUGGCCGGAGUCUGUGAAAGUCAGGCAUAUCUUCGUGCACGGGCAUGCAGCGCUCGAACGUGUCCCGCCAUGCGUCGCCGUGCAUGCCGUUUUGACUGCUUGCCCGCCGCUUCGCAUGUCCACGGUAAACAUCGACGUUUCCACUAUAAAAGAGCACGACACUACGCCGCAUUCCCUCAUGCAAGAGAGCGUGUCUGUAAGGUACAGGAUGGGAUUCACUCGAACUAGCUUGAUCUCACUCACAAAUUCAAGUCCGGUAUCUCGAUUACAAGGGAAAUGGGAUUACAGAAAGAGAAAUAUCUGAAGAGAAGAACUAGGGUAAGCCGCCGCCGCCGUUUGCCUUGAUCCACUGGAUGACCUGAUCUCCAAGGGGCGUGGCUUAAGUAGCCGGCUGGGCGGUUGGGCUCAGCGGGCCCACUGCGGCCUAGAGUUGGUUGGGUUGGGCUUCUUGGUCCUGAUGGGUCGAGAGGCAGCGACGGGGUCGCUGCCGCCUGGGUCCUUCCUGUCAGCAAUCAGAGUAGGGUCACCUGGACUAGGGGCGCUGACAUCCCCGCCUCCUUACGACGAGGCUUGCCCCCAAGACUCUGCUGCAGGAAAACGUGCUUGAAGAGCCGCUCGGUCCUCCCAAGUAUCUUCCAGGGCAGAUUCAUCCGACCAACGAAUGCGAGGUUGCUCAAUCAUGGUGCCAUUCUUUUUGCGCCAUCGGCGCUGCAGAACUGUGACUGGAACAACAGGAGCAUCAGUACGUUGAGGAAGAACAGUGAGCCAUCAUACCCGGUUGCAAGCAGUGCCUCAGCUGGGAGACAUGGAAGACAGGGUGCACUUGGGCUUGUGGAGGUAACUCAAGCUUGUAGGCUGCGUCAUUGACCUUGGUGAUGAUCUGGUACGGUCCAUAAUACUUGAAUGCCAAUUUGUGGUUGGCACACCUCGCCACUGAAGUCUGAAUAUAAGGUUGCAGUUUGAGAUGAACCGAGUCGCCCACCGAAAAGGUGCGCGGGGAUCGACGCUUGUCUGCUUGAGCCUUCAUGUACUGUUGUGCUCUGUUCAAGUGCUGUUGCAGCAGGUCCUGGAUGACGACACGCUCGUCCAGCCAAGAGUGCAGUGCUGGCACCGUGCAUUCACUGGUCGGAGUGAUCCCCCAGUGUCUUGGUUCAUGCCCGAACAUAGCUUUGAAUGGCGACAUGCCGAUGCUGGAGUGGUGCGAAGUAUUGUACCAAAACUGCGCCAAUGGUAUCCAAUGACUCCACCUGGUUGGGCAGGCGUGCACGAAGCAGCGGAGGUAAGUUUCGAGACACUGAUUGACUCGCUCCGUUUGCCCGUCAGUUUGCGGAUGAUUUGCCGUACUCAGCUGCAGCUCGGUGCCCGCAUACUUGAAAAGUUCCUACCAGAAAUGGCUGGUGAAGACAGGGUCGCGAUCGGACACGAUCGAUGCUGGGAAGCUGUGGAUCCUGUAAACACUGUUCAUGUAGAGAAGUGCAACCUUGGCUGCAGUAUAGGGGUGCGCCAGAGGGAGGAAAUGGGCAAACUUGGUGCGCUUAUCGAUAAUGACCCAGAUGCAAUUGUGUUUACCGGAUUGCGGUAGCCCGUCGAUGAAGUCCAUCGUAAUCAUCUCCCAAGGCUGCUGGGAUUGGAAGGGGUUGAAGGAGGCCUGGAGAUGCUGCUCUGUCCGGUUUCGCUUACUGACAGAUUGAGCAACAUCGCACGUAAUGCAGCACGUGUGUCUUCAUCUUGGGCCAUGCGAACAGACGACGGAUGCGCCGGAAGGUAGCUGGGAACCCAGAGUGCCCUCCCAGGGGGCUAUCGUGAAAUGCCCCCAUGAUCUUUUGUUGAAGUGCCGUGGAACCCCCGAGCCAAAUACGCCCAGGGAAACAAAUGACGCCAUUCUGCAAUGUGAAACGCCCUUUGGAAUCUUCUUUGAUAGCUAGUUGUUCCAGCAGCUUCUGCGCCUGAGGAUUGCAAUUGUAACUUGUCACCACAUCUUCGAGCCAUGUUGGUUGACACGAAGUGACAGCUGAGAGAAUCUCUGAAGAGCCCGCGCGCGACAACGCGUCUGCGGCUGUGUUUUUGGUGCCUUUCUUGUACCGAAUGGUGUAACGCAAACCCAGAAGUUUUGUGAAAGCUCGCUGUUGCCAUGGGGUGGAAAGGCGCUGUUCCUCCAGAUGUAUCAGACUUUUUUGGUCUGUGUAGAUGACGAACUCACUGUGCUGCAGAUAUGGUCGCCAUUGGUCCACCGCAACAACAAUGGCGAGGUACUCCUUUUCAUAAGUUGAAAGGCCUUGGUAUCUGGGACUAAGGCUUUUGCUCAUGAAAGCGAUAGGAUGCCCCUCCUGUUGCAAAACUGCCCCUAUCCCUUUGUCACAGGCGUCCGUUUCGAUCGUGAAUGUCUUGGUGAAGUCCGGCAAUGCCAAAACUAGAGCUGUGAUCAGUUGCUGUUUGAGCGGUUGGAAGGCUUGAGCUGUGUUGUCUGUCCAAACGAAUGGGGUGCCCUUCUUGAGAAGAUUGAACAGAGGUCUCGCGAUGAUGCCGAAUCCACGCACAAAACGACGAUAAUAACCCGCAAGGCCAAGGAUUGCUGGACCUGCUUGGCAUCUUGCGGGGUUGUCCAUUCUUGCACUGCACGGAUCUUGCUGGGUUCCGUGGCCACGCCUUUCUCGCUGAUGACAUGGCCCAAGUACGACAACUGUUGCUGACCAAAUUCACAUUUAGAUCUCUUAACUUUCCAUUGAUCCUUGCGCAGCAGCUCGAGAACCUGUCGAAGGUGAGAAACAUGCUCUUCCCAGGUACGGCUGAACACCAAUAUAUCGUCGAAGAAUAGGAGUACGCAAUGCCGAAGCAGUGGUUGCAGGGUGUCCGUAAGUUCACUGAUGAAUGUUGCCGGUCCGCCUGCUAGAUCGAAGGAGAGCACCUUAAACUCAUAAUGGCCCGAGUGCGUUUGAAAUGCGGUCUUGAAUUCUUCCCCCUCUGCCAGCCAGAUCUAAUGAUAUCCAACGCGCAGGUCAAGUUUGGAGAACCACUUCACUCCAUGUAAUUGUAACGCCCCGGAUCCGAUGCGCUAGGUGUCUGCCAGUUAUUCAUCGUCAUUGCCAUGUCAUUUGCUUGCGUGUUGCACUUUACCAUGUCUUCAUGUGCAUUUCAUUUUGCAUACGUGUUCGUCUCAUGCAUCCGAGCCCUUUCCCCGUUGUCCGUUUUGCGAUCCGGCGCUCCUAUGUCCUCCGGCGUUCCCCUUUCGUCUCUCUUGUGAGCGGGUGUUAAACUUUCUCGAAAUGGACCGAGGCUUGCCAAGCAGCCUUGGUAUAGCACCGGUAGACCGCCUGUCAAGUUUCGUGUCAUUUAGAGGUCGUUUAUACUCCAACGGUUAACCGGGUAACCGUAAGCCCCUCUCUCUUUGCAGCCCAAUAACCCUUCCAAACUGGCCCAAAACCCAUCUAACUCCCCUCCAUGCUCUCGGUCGUUCGAUCACGAUCGUGUGGGCGAAAACCGCUCCUCAUUUGGACUCUCCUAGCUCCCUCUACCUAUAAAUACACCUUCCCCUCCGAAAUUUGCGGUGCAAACCCUAGCCCCUUCUCAUCCGCGCCGCCGGACAUGUCCGCCCGGCGACCGGACGUGUCCGCCCCGCUCCCCGAGUCCAAUCAGGGUGCGCCACGUGGCCUCCCGCCGUCGUCCCCGCCGCCGGCCUGUGCGGCCCGCUGCAGGCNNNNNNNNNNNNNNNNNNNNNNNNNNNNNNNNNNNNNNNNNNNNNNNNNNNNNNNNNNNNNNNNNNNNNNNNNNNNNNNNNNNNNNNNNNNNNNNNNNNNNNNNNNNNNNNNNNNNNNNNNNNNNNNNNNNNNNNNNNNNNNNNNNNNNNNNNNNNNNNNNNNNNNNNNNNNNNNNNNNNNNNNNNNNNNNNNNNNNNNNNNNNNNNNNNNNNNNNNNNNNNNNNNNNNNNNNNNNNNNNNNNNNNNNNNNNNNNNNNNNNNNNNNNNNNNNNNNNNNNNNNGCCGCGUCCGCGCCCGCGCGCGCCAGCCGCCGCCUCGCCGUGCCGCCCGGCCUCCGGCCGCGCCUCCCCCUCGCCUCCUCCGGCCGGAUCCGGCCCGGAGAACAUCGUUGACCGCUUCUCCACCGUCAUCUCUGGCGAGCUCCGGCGAUCCUCGAAGUCCGUGCGGAUCUGGAUCCAUAUGAGGUUGACUUUCCCCUCCCCGAAAUUUGCCCCAAGUCCUCGAAUCUGUGUAAUUUUCAUGCCAUGUUCGUCAUGCCGUAUCUCUGCAUCCGUAGCUCCGUUUUGUGUGUGUAAUAUGUCAAAUUGUUCGUCUAAACGAAUACAUCAUUUCAUUCCAUUGCAUCAUAUUCAUUUGAGGUCAUCUUGAUGCCCGAAUCAUCAUUGCAAGAGUGCUUCAUGAUGUUUUCUGCUGUCUGUUAACAGAACGAGCUCUUUUGUCAUUUUUGCCAUGAUUGAUGUGUACAUCCUAUGAGGUUGAUGUCUACAUGCGUUUUGAUCUAUGCCAUGCCAUCUUUACAGGGGUGUAUGCCAUGUAUUUUUGUGAUCAAUGUGGUGACUAGCACAAGCAUGCAAACUAGGCAUCGUGAUGUUGCUGAUUUUAGUCCCUGUUCUGCUGUAAUUUUGAUGCCAUACAAACUUGAUGCUACAGAGAGAUCCAUGCAUAUUUUGAGAUACUUCAGUAAGAAUAUUUUGAACACAUGGUUAUUGUCUAUCCAUUCAUGCCCUUGUUUGCAAUUAUGGAGUAGUCUAGCAUGUCAUUUUCGUUCUCUACUAUUGCUUCAAAAUGUUUCCUGGCAGAUUGUUUACAUGUUAUUUAAUUUGGCCAAGGUUGCUAUAGUUGAUCCUUGCAUGCUAUGACCUUGUUCUUGCCUUGGUUGGUUACACAAACAUGUCUUCUUGAUGAUGCUAUGCUUAUCUUGUCAUGCAAUGACUUGUGGUUAGUGAUUCGAGCUUGUUAAGUAGGGUACAUGAUGUUGUUGUUUUGCUAGGCUGAAUCUGUUAUUUCGUGAUGCUAUAUAAACAUGUUGCUACAAAUCAUUCUAUGCAUAAUCUGGAGAUGAUCACUAAAUAUGUUUUGAUCUACAUGUCAUGCUCUAUCCAUCCAUGCCCUUAGUUGCAAUUAUAGCCUGUUGUAGCUUGUUCAUAUCUUGCUCCAAAGUUGCUUGAUAAUGUUGCUGUCAGCCUGUUAACAUUAAGUUCAGUUGUUGCCAUGUGUUUUCCUAGUGUUCCAUGCACCCUAUGACUAUGCUAUUGCCAUGCUUAGCUUCAUAAACAUGCCUUCUUACUGUUGGUUGCCUUGCCAUGCCAUGUAUUGCUCUGUAGUGAGUUGCACAAGCUCAUCUACAUGCUUUUACAAUUAUGUUUCUGCCAUGUAUGAAUCUGUAAUAUAACUUGCUAUGUUUACGUGGGUGCCAUCAUAUCUUCUGAUCCUUUUUGGCUUAUGGUCAGUAAGGGACUUUUGAUCUAUGCAAUUAGUAGAUUCAUGCCAUGCCUUUGUUUGCCAUUAUAAGUUCCUGUAACAUGUUGUUUGAUAGCUCUGAACAUUGCAUCGUGAUGUUAUUUUCUGCAAAGUCUGGAAUUGUUAUAACUUGCAAUCUUACCAUGUGUGUUUGAGCAUGCUCUAGUGAUUUCUAGAGAUAGCUCAGUGUUCAUGUUUUGUUGUGCUUUACCUAUACAUCAUGCCCAUGCCUUUUGUUUUCUUGUUGAGGACCUGUAGUAUAUUGUUUUGGUGCUUGCAAUAUGCCUAGUUGCUGUUUUGGACAGCUUGUCCUUUAAACUUGUAUAGAGUGCAUGUGUUGAACCGUUGCUCUGUUUUGAGUGUGCUCUAUAUGAAACUUGCUUGAGUUUGCAUGUAGUUUUAUAUUAUCAUGUUGCAUCCAUGUUUUGAGGUGUCUGCUUGAUGUUUGUAUGCAUUUUGCAUCAAUGCCAUGUUAACUUGUUUUGCUCAUAUCUUCUAGGCCGUAGCUCCGAACUAAAUGAACUUUAUAUGUAACUUGACUAGAAUCUCGUGUAGAUCAUCUUUGUGCAUCUUAACUUGAUGUUUAACUACUUGAACAUAAUGUUUAUUCAGAUCUGGACCAACUUCGAAAUUUGCAUAUAAGGACUUACCGGAAUUGUCAUAUGUUGUUCCCGGCCUCAUUUAAACUUGUCUUAGUGUGCUGCUCUUGUUUGCAUCAUCUCUUGCCAUGAGUAGCUUCAUAUAGUCUUGUCAUACAUCAUGCUUGUUGUGCAUCAUGCCUUGUUCAUGUAUGGUGUGUUUACCUUGUUGUGUGCUUCUUUUCGAUAGUUCCUGUUUCGUUGCGAUCGUGAGGAUUCGUUCGUCUACGCUUGGUUCGGCUUCACCCGUUCGUCUCCUUCAUGGACUCGUUCUUCUUCCUUGCGGGAUUUCAGGCAAGAUGUCCGCUACCCUGGAUCUCACUACUAUCAUUGCUAUGCUAGUUGCUUCGUUCUAUCGCUAUGCUGCAUACCUAUCUUUUGCUCAUCAAGCCUCCCAUAUUGCCAUGAACCUCUAACCUUUGACACCCUUCCUAGCAAACCAUUGCUUGGCUAUGUUACCGCUUUGCUCAGCCCCACUUAUAGCGUUGCUAGUUGCAGGUGAAGUUGAAGAUUUCUCCAUGAUGGACAGGAUUAUGUUGGGAUAUCACAAUAUCUCUUAUAUUAUUAAUGCAUCUAUAUACUUGGUAAAGGAUGGAAGACUCGGCCUUUUGCCUGGUGUUUUGUUCCACUCUUGCUGCCCUAGUUUCCGUCAUACCGGUGUUAUGUUCCCGGAUUUUGCGUUCCUUACGCGGUCGGGUGAUUUAUGGGACCCCCUUGACAGUUCGCUUUGAAUAAAACUCCUCUAGCAAGGCCCAACCUUGGUUUUACCAUUUGCCUCACCUAGCCCUUUUUCCCUUGGGAGUCGCACUCUCAAGGGUCGUCUUUAUAUUAUCCCCCCCCCCGGGCCAGUGCUCGUCGUGAGUGUUGGUCCAACCUGUCAACCGCCGGUGGCCACCAGGGGCAACUCUGGGCUGGCCUACCGGAAGUUUGGACAAUCCGGUGUGCCCUGAGAACGAGAUAUGUGCAGCUCCUAUCGGGAUUUGUCGGCACAGCGGGAGGCUUUGCUGGUCUUGUUUUACCAUUGUCGAAAUGUCUUGUAAACCGGGAUUCCGAGUUUGAUCGGGUCUUCCUGGGAGAAGGUCUAUUCCUUCGUUGAUCUUGAGAGCUUGUCAUGGGCUAAGUUGGGACACCCCUGCAGGGUAUAAUCUUUCGAAAGUCGUGCCUGCGGUUAUAGGCAGAUGGGAAUUUGUUAAUGUCCGGUUGUAGAUAACUUGACACCAGAUCCGAUUUAAAAUGCAUCAACCGCGUGUGUAGCCGUGAUGGUCUCUUUUCGACGGAGUCCGGGAAGUGAACACGGUUUCUGGGUUACGUUUGACGUAAGUAGGAGUUCAGGAUCACUUCUUGAUCAUUUCUAGUUGAUGACCGUUCCGCUUGCUCUCUUCUCGCUCUUAUUUGCGUAUGUUUAGCCACCAUAUAUGCUUAGUCGUUGCUGCAGCCUCACCACUUUACCCCUUCCUUUCCCUUUAAUCUUUGCUAGUCUUGAUACCCAUGGUAAUGGGAUUGCUGAGUCCUCGUGGCUCACAGAUUACUACAACAACAGUUGCAGGUACAGGUUUAUGCGAUGAUCUUGAUGCGAGAGCGAUGUUUGCGUGUUUCGGAGUUCUUCUACUGCUUCUUCUUCGAUCUGGGAUAGGUUCCAGGUCGGCAGCCUGGGCUAGCAGGGUGGAUGUCGUUUGAGUUUCUGUUUGUGUUUCAUCCGUAGUCGGAUGAUGCUCUCUUGUAUUGUGAUGUUGUAUUCAUGUGGCAUUGUAUGCCUUUUGUAUGUAUCCCCAUCUAUUAUGUAAUGUUGAUGUAAUGAUAUCCACCUUGCAAAAGCAUUUCAAUAUGCGGGUCUAUCCUUGGUGGGACCUUCGAGUUACCUUUUGGAUAGGGUCGCAUAUUGGGCGUGACAAGUUGGUAUCAGAGCCUCGACCGACCAUAGGAGCCCCCUUGAUUGAUCAUGUAGUUUGGCCGUUGUUGAGUCUAGAAGAAAACUGUUUUCUGAGUCUAGUUAUAUCGGAGAGUAGGAAUUCUUUUUACUCCUCAGCCCCUUCGUCGCUCUGGUAAGGAAUCUUUACGUAGGUGUUUUGAAUUACUCCUCUUCCCCUUCAAAUUUUUCUUUAGGAUCAUGUGGUUAGUUUUCGAUCGUUGGUUCUCUUCUUUUUUCAUCCGGUGCAUUCCUCGUCAAGUCGACUCGAGCCUCUUCAUCUUUGAGUUCAAUCCUCAUUUGUUUUCUUUUCCCACCCGCCCUCCCUGUUCUUCUUCUCGGAACCGGAGUCCAUAAUCGAGUAUCCAUCCUACUCGUGCGAAGUCUUUGAUUUCUUUCCUCAAUGAUUUCAACCGGUGUUUUCUCUUCAAGAUAUUCGUCGAUUCCCCUUUCAAGUUGUCUUUGUUUUCCCGCCCUCCCACCCUUUUCUUCCCGGAGCCUGAGUCUGUUUCGAGCAUCGAUUUCAUUCGUGUGGAACCUCUUCAGUCUUUUGUUAAUUAUUUCAACCGGUGAAUUCUCGUCUCGGUGGAUAUUCUUCAUCUCUUUUCCGGUGGAUUCAAUUCUAAUUUUUGGUAGUGAUUUCAUUCUUUUCCUCGGCUCAAGUGUUUUCCCUGCUCGUUCGCCUCUCGCUAGUUUAUCCUUCCGGAGUCCUCAAGACAUCUCAGGAGAUUCGUCUGUGUUCCAAUUAAUUCGAGGUUGUCACCUCACUCAAAUAUUUCAAGUGUUCCGGUGCAUCAUCUACCUCUUCAACAAUCCUUUUCAACGGUAUUAUCUCUUCAGUGGGCCCUAACCCACAGGUCUUUUCCCAGGAUCUUACCUGACUCUUCUAAUUUCCCGGAGCUAUUCUCAAAUCCUUUUCUGAAGUUUGACAUAAGUAUGUAUUUCAUCAGUCAGAUGCUUUUCCAAAAUCGAUUUCAAAUCAUUUUCAUUCUUGGCUCAACCUCUUCGCUUUUCAUUCUCCCGGAGUAUCUCAGUAAUUUUGGUGGUGUGUUUCCCGUCGUCAUUUGAAGAUCGAAGAAGAGUUUUUUCCUCUAAAUCUUGUCCGUUCUUUUGAAGUUUCGUGGUUCUAGCUUCAGGUUAUCCUCUCGAAUUAUUUCAGUUUGUCAGAUAUUCUUUCUUACCCAUCCGGAGUAUGUCAGAAGUUGUUCUCCUGUUCCUUUUCACCGGAGGCCAUCAGUUCAAUUAUCAUUCUCUAAUUAUCCCGGUGAUUCAUUCCCUUUCAUCAGUCAUUCCGAAUUCUUACGGUGGUUCGUUCAAGAUUCUUUUUCCUUGUUUAUCAUUUUAAUCCUUUCGUUCUUUCCAAUUCUACCGGUGGUUCAUGAAGACUCUCUCAAGUUUUGUUCUAUCCCUUCUCAAGUUUGCGAUAUGUCUCUUCUCAAUCCUUUUCAAGAAGAAUAAGUAGUAUGCAAAAUCCAUUGCUUGUCAUCAAUUUAACUUGAUGAAGGAUAAGCAUACAAUAAAUCUUAUUCUUAUUUCAUCCAAGUGAGUAAUCCUCUCCUUCGGAGUUUGUUCUUAAUGAAUAAAUUCUAGUUCCAAGUGUUUUCAUCUUUUCUUUUCCGGAGUUCAAUUUCCUCGGCCAUUUCGUCGGAACCUCAAUCUCUAUCAUCGCAACGCUCAUCUUAUUCUUUCAUCCUUCAAUUUUAUCUCAUCAUCCUUUCGUUACCGGAGUUCUUCAUGGUGGUUCGUCAUGAUUUAAUUCAUUCUUCGAGUGUUCAUCAAGAUUUUGUUGGUGGAAUUCAAGUAUCUUUUCUUCUCGCAUCUCGAAGUGCAAUUAAUUCUCCGUAUUCUUGUGAAGUUGGAGUUUUGCAUUUUUUUUCGUUCCUCUCAGCUAUCCAAUCAUUUCUGUUUGUGGUUGGUUAUCACCUCAUAAUUUCUGAGAGUUAUCCAUAAGUCCACGACAAGCUUAUUCUUUCGUUGUUGAUUUUCUCAACAACUCUAUUCAAUCCUUCCUUCUAAGUUAUUUUCAUUUCUAUUUCAAUUCUUUCUGGAGGUUUUGCGUUGUUCAUCUCAUCAAGUGUCAUCCCAACUUGUGAAUUUCUUGUUCUAUUCUUUCCAUGUUCAGUCAGAGUGCUGCCUAAAUCCUUUCAGUCUUAUUCGUUUCUCAUCUCGUUCUAACCGGAGUGGUUUCAUAGUCUAUCUGAUUCCGUGAGCUAUCGAUUCUCGUCAUUCUCGUCGUUCCUCUCUUCUUUUCGAGUGCUCUCGAUUCUUUGCUUCUUUUCUUCAGUUCUUGUUUCACCUCAUCCCUUUUCCCUUCCGUCUCAGUCCUAAGAUCUCGGGACGAGAUCUCUUGUUAGUGGAGGAGUGUUGUAACGCCCUAGAUCCGAUGCGCCAGGUGUCUGCCAGUUAUUCAUCGUCAUUGCCAUGUCAUUUACUUGCGUGUUGCAUUUUACCAUGUCUUCAUGUGCAUUUCAUUUUGCAUACAUGUUCGUCUCAUGCAUCCGAGCCUUUUCCCCGUUGUCCGUUUUGCGAUCCGGCGCUCCUAUGUCCUCCGGCGUUCCCCUUUUGUCUCUCGUUGUGAGCGGGUGUUAAACUUUCUCGGAAUGGACCGAGGCUUGCCAAGCGGCCUUGGUAUAGCACCGGUAGACCGCCUGUCAAGUUUCGUGUCAUUUGGAGGUCGUUUGAUACUCCAACGGUUAACCGGGUAACCGUAAGCCCCUCUCUCUUUGCAGCCCAACACCCCUUCCAAACUGGACCAAAACCCAUCUAACUCCCCUCCAUGCUCUCGGUCGUUCGAUCAUGAUCGUGUGGGCGAAAACCGCUCCUCAUUUGGACUCUCCUAGCUCCCUCUACCUAUAAUACACCUUCCCCUCCGAAAUUUGCGGUGCAAACCCUAGCCCCUUCUCAUCCGCGCCGCCGGACAUGUCCGCCCGGCAAACGGAUGUGUCUGCCCCGCUCCCCCAGUCCAAUCAGGGUGCGCCAUGUGGCCUCCCGCCACCGUCCCCGCCGCCGGCCCGCGCGGCCCGCUUCAGGCCCGCGGGGCCCGUGCGCNNNNNNNNNNNNNNNNNNNNNNNNNNNNNNNNNNNNNNNNNNNNNNNNNNNNNNNNNNNNNNNNNNNNNNNNNNNNNNNNNNNNNNNNNNNNNNNNNNNNNNNNNNNNNNNNNNNNNNNNNNNNNNNNNNNNNNNNNNNNNNNNNNNNNNNNNNNNNNNNNNNNNNNNNNNNNNNNNNNNNNNNNNNNNNNNNNNNNNNNNNNNNNNNNNNNNNNNNNNNNNNNNNNNNNNNNNNNNNNNNNNNNNNNNNNNNNNNNNNNNNNNNNNNNNNNNNNNNNNNNNNNNNNNNNNNNNNNNNNNNNNNNNNNNNNNNNNCGCGCCGCCGCGCCUCCCCCUCGCCUCCUCUGGCCGGAUCCGGCCCGGAGAACCUCGUCGGCCGCCUCUCCACCGUCAUCUUCGGCGAGCUCCGGCGAUCCUCGAAGUCCGUGCGGAUCUGGAUCCAUAUGAGGUUGACUUUCCCCUCCCCGAAAUUUGCCCAAGUCCCCGAAUCUGUGUAAUUUUCAUGCCAUGUUCGUCAUGACGUAUCUCUGCAUCUGUAGCUUUGUUUUGUGCGUGUAAUAUGUCAAAUUGUUCGUCUCAACGAGUACAUCAUUUUAUUCCAUUGCAUCAUAUUCAUUUGAGGUCAUCUUGAUGCCCGGGUCAUCGUUGCAAGAGUGCUUCAUGAUGUUUUCUGCUGUCUGUUAACAGAACGAGCUCUUUUGUCAUUUUUUCCAUGAUUGAUGUGUGCAUCCUAUGAGGUUGAUGUCUACAUGUGUUUUGAUCUAUUCCAUGCCAUCUUUACAGGGGUGUAUGCCAUGUAUUUUUUGAUCAAUAUGGUGACUAGCACAAGCAUGCAAACUAGGCAUCGUGAUAUUGCUGAUUUUAGUCUCUGUUCUGCUGUAAUUUUGAUGCCAUGCAAACUUGAUGCUACAGAGAGAUCCAUGCAUAUUUUGAGAUACUUCAGUAAGGAUGUUUUGAAUACAUGGUUAUUGUCUAUCCAUUCAUGCCCUUAUUUGCAAUUAUGGAGUAGUCUAGCAUGUCAUUUUCGUGCUCUACUUUUGCUUCAAAAUGUUUCCUGGCAGAUUGUUUACGUGUUAUUCAAUUUGGCCAAGGUUGCUAUAGUUGAUCCUUGCAUGCUAUGACCUUGUUCUUGCCUUGGUUGGUUACACAAACAUGUCUUUUUGAUGAUUCUAUGCUUAUAUUGUCAUGCAAGGACUUGUGGUGAGUGAUUCGAGCUUGUUAAGUAGGGUACAUGAUGUUGCUGUUUUGCUAGGCUGAAUCUGUUAUUUCGUGAUGCUAUAUAAACAUGUUGCUACAAAUCAUUCUAUGCAUAAUCUGGAGAUGAUCACUAAAUAUGUUUUGAUCUACAUGUCAUGCUCUAUCCAUCCAUGCCAUUAGUUACAAUUAUAGACUGUUGUAGCUUGUUCAUAUCUUACUCCAAAGUUGCUUGAUAAUGUUGCUGUCAGCCUGUUAACAUUAAGUUCAGUUGUUGCCAUGUGUUUUCCUAGUGUUCCAUGCACCCUAUGACUAUGCUAUUGCCAUGCUUAGCUUCAUAAACAUGCCUUCUUACUGUUGGUUGCCUUGCCAUGCCAUGUAUUGCUCUGUAGUGAGUUGCACAAGCUCAUCUACAUGCCUUCAUAAUUAUGUUUCUGCCAUGUAUGAAUCUGUAAUAUAACUUGCUAUGUUUACGUGGGUGCCAUCAUAUCUUCUGAUCCUUUUUGGCUUAUGGUCAGUAAGGGACUUUUGAUCUAUGAAUUAGUAGAUUCAUGCCAUGCCUUUGUUUGCCAUUAUAAGUUCCUGUAACAUGUUGUUUGAUAGCUCUGAACAUUGCAUCGUGAUGUUAUUUUCUGCAAAGUCUGGAAUUGUUAUAACUUGCAAUCUUACCAUGUGUGUUUGAGCAUGUUCUAGUGAUUUCUAGAGAUAGCCCAGUGUUCAUGUUUUGUUGUGAUUUACCUAUACAUCAUGCCCAUGCCUUUUGUUUUCUUGUUGAGGACCUGUAGUAUAUUGUUUUGGUACUUGCAAUAUGCCUAGUUGCUGUUUUGGACAGCUUGUCCUUUAAACUUGUAUAGAGUGCAUGUGUUGAACCGUUGCUCCGUUUUGAGUGUGCUCUAUAUGAAACUUGCUUGAUUUUGCAUGUAGUUUCAUAUUAUCAUGUUGCAUCCAUGUUUUGAGGUGUAUGCUUGAUGUUUGUAUGCAUUUUGCAUCAAUGCCAUGUUAACUUGUUUUGCUCAUAUCUUCUAGGCCGUAGCUCCGAACUAAAUUAACUUUAUAUGUAACUUGACUAGAAUCUCGUGUAGAUCAUCUUUGUGCAUCUUAACUUGAUGUUUAACUACUUGAACAUAAUGUUUAUUCAGAUCUGGACCAACUUCGAAAUUUGCAUAUAAGGACUUACCGGAAUUGUCAUAUGUUGUUCCCGGCCUCAUUUAAACUUGCCUUAGUGUGCUGCUCUUGUUUGCAUCAUCUCUUGCCAUGAGUAGCUUCAUAUAGUCUUGUCAUGCAUCAUGCUUGUUGUGCAUCAUGCCUUGUUCAUGUGUGGUCUGUUUACCUUGUUGUGUGCUUCUUUUCGAUAGUUCCUGUUUCGUUGCGAUCGUGAGGAUUCGUUCGUCUACGCUUGGUUCGGUUUCACCCGUUCGUCUCCUUCAUGAACUCGUUCUUCUUCCUUGCGGGAUUUCAGGCAAGAUGACCGCUACCCUGGAUCUCACUACUAUCAUUGCUAUGCUAGUUGCUUCGUUCUAUCGCUAUGUUGCGUUACCUAUCUUUUGCUCAUCAAGCCUCCCAUAUUGCCAUGAACCUCUAACCUUUGACACCCUUCCUAGCAAACCAUUGCUUGGCUAUGUUAACACUUUGCUCAGCCCCUCUUAUAGCGUUGCUAGUUGCAGGUGAAGUUGAAGAUUUCUCCAUGAUGGACAGGAUUAUGUUGGGAUAUCACAAUAUCUCUUAUAUUAUUAAUGCAUCUAUAUACUUGGUAAAGGGUGGAAGGCUCGGCAUUUUGCCUGAUGUUUUGUUCCACUCUUGCCGCCCUAGUUUCCGUCAUACCGGUGUUAUGUUCCCGGAUUUUGUGUUUCUUACGCGGUCGGGUGAUUUAUGGGACCCCCUUGACAGUUCGCUUUGAAUAAAACUCCUCUAGCAAGGCCCAACCUUGGUUUUACCAUUUGCCUCACCUAGCCCUUUUUCCCUUGGGAGUCGCACUCUCGAGGGUCAUCUUUAUAUUAUCCCCCCUGGGCCAGUGCUCGUCGUGAGUGUUGGUCCAACCUGUCAACCGCCGGUGGCCACCGGGGGCAACUCUGGGCUGGCCUACCAGAAGUUUGGACAAUCCGGUGUGCCCUGAGAACGAGAUAUGUGCAGCUCCUAUCGGGAUUUGUCGGCACAGCGGGAGGCUUUGCUGGUCUUGUUUUACCAUUGUCGAAAUGUCUUGUAAACCGGGAUUCCGAGUUUGAUCGGGUCUUCCUGGGAGAAGGUCUAUUCCUUCGUUGAUCGCGAGAGCUUGUCAUGGGCUAAGUUGGGACACCCCUGCAGGGUAUAAUCUUUCGAAAGCCGUGCCUGCGGUUAUAGGCAGAUGGGAAUUUGUUAAUGUCCGGUUGUAGAUAACUUGACACCAGAUCCGAUUUAAAACGCAUCAACCGCAUGUGUAGCCGUGAUGGUCUCUUUUCGGCGGAGUCCGGGAAGUGAACACGGUUUCUGGGUUAUGUUUGACGUAAGUAGGAGUUCAGGAUCACUUCUUGAUCGUUGCUAGUUGACGACCGUUCCGCUUGCUCUCUUCUCGCUCUUAUUUGCGUAUGUUUAGCCACCAUAUAUGCUUAGUCGCUGCUGCAGCCUCACCACUUUACCCCUUCCUUUCCCUUUAAGCUUUGCUAGUCUUGAUACCCAUGGUAAUGGGAUUGUUGAGUCCUCGUGGCUCACAGAUUACUACAACAACAGUUGCAGGUACAGGUUUAGGUGAUGAUCUUGACGCGAGAGCAAUGUUUGCGUGUUUCGGAGUUCUUCUACUGCUUCUUCUUCGAUCAAGGAUAGGUUUCAGGUCGGCAGCCUGGGCUAGCAGGGUGGAUGUCGUUUGAGUUUCUGUUUGUGUUUCAUCCGUAGUCGGAUGAUGCUCUCUUGUAUUGUGAUGUUGUAUUCAUUUGGCAUUGUAUGCCUUUUGUAUGUAUCCCCAUCUAUUAUGUAAUGUUGAUGUAAUGAUAUCCACCUUGCAAAAGCGUUUCAAUAUGCGGGUCUAUCCUUGGUGGGACCUUCAAGUUCCUUUUGGAUAGGGUCGCAUAUUGGGCGUGAUAGUAAUUCAUCAAGCAGCUCCUCUAUUAUAGGGACAGGGAAUUUGCUGAUGCGCGUCAUGGCGUUGAGAUGGCGGUAUUCAAUGCACAGCCGCCACGUCCCGUCCUUCUUCUUGACCAGGAUCGCCGGCGAUGAAAAACUGCUGUGGCUGCGCUGAAUGACCCCCGACUGAAGCAGUUCAGCUACUUGCCGCUCAAUUUCUGUCUUGUGCUCUGGCUUGUGCCGAUAUGGUCUGAUAUUAACUGGUUGUGCACCUCGCAUCAGUGGUAUGGUAUGGUCAUACGCACGACGAGGUGGCAGGCCUGUGGGUUUCUGGAACACAUCCUCGAAUUCAGUUAGCACUUGCUGCAGCUCUGGCGAUCCCUCUGAAACAGACGACUCCCCCUUGAUCGGGCAGAGCAGGAUGAUCUGAAGGAGAGAGCCUUGGCGGUGCAGGUUCAUGAGCUGAACCCGAUUGAUCACAUGGCAUGUUGUGGAGUUGGCUUCAUGGCCGAACAGGUGAGCUCGUCCCAUAGCAGUGGGAAAUUGAAUGUACUUGGCGCGCCAAUCGACAGUCAUAGGGCUGUGCUGUUCAAGCCAAUCCAUGCUGAGGAUGGCAUCGUACGUGCCCAACGGCAGUAUCUUCAUGUUGGUGUUGAAAUCGUGGCCCUGGGAAGACCACUGACAAGAGGGAAUUGCAGCAGUGCAGGUGAAUUCCCCUCCAUCAGCAACACGGACACAACUUGGCUGCUCGAGUGGCACCACUCCGGUCAUUUGUUGUGCCAGCUUCUAGUCGAUGAAGGACGUUGAGCUGCCGCUGUCAAUGAGAAGAAGCACCUCGCGCCCUUGCAUUGUGGCGAGCAGUUGAAAGGCCUUGGACGAAACGCUGCCAUCCAGUGCUGAACGCGAAAUGGCCAUGGUUGUGUCGCAGGUGGAUGUAGUGGACGUGGCCUCGUUCUGCUCGACGUCCACGCCGAAGAGUUCGAGCAUCUCCUCCACCACAUGGAGUUGUACUGUGGUGGGGCAGACAUGGUCUUGUCCCCAGCGCUCUCCGCACUUGAAGCAAAGCCCUCGGCCCCGGCGGUAGUCGUGGAGCGCCUUCACCUUGGAUGUGUCCGCACACGCUGCCUCAGUGCCACGGCGAUCGGUGGUGCCGUUCGGUGGAACCGCGCGCGGUGGAGGUGGAGGUAGGGGCAGCGCCACUCCCGGUCGGUGGUGUGCGUCGGGCGCUCGUGUGAGGGAGCCCGAGGCCCCGUCCGCCACUUCCUCUUGUAAGAGCGCCAACGCGCACACUGUAUCCAAGUCCGGCGGUCGUUGCACCAAGACCACCGCACGAAUGUCUUUCCGCAGCCCCUCCAUGAAGCGAGUGAGAAAAUAGAAGGGAUGAAUUGUGUCAGAAUACGAACUGAGAUGAUUAAUGAUAGAUUCAAAUUGCUCAAUGUAAUCCGCGACCGUGGAUGUUUGGCGCACGGUAUAAAACUGACGGAUAAGCGUCUGGUGACGAUCACGCCCAAAACGUGUGCAUAGCAGAGAAGUAAAUGAUUCUCAAUCAAAUUCUGCAAGUCUUUUCUAGAUAGACUGCAGCCAAAUAGCUGCAGAGCCAGAGAAAUUUAGUGCUGCCAUUGGCACCCAAAACGAAGGCAGAAUCGCAAACAUAGUGAAGUACUGUUCGCAAAGAGUCUUCCACAGGUUCGGGUUGUCCCCCGCAAAUUGUGGAAACUGGAUGGAUGGGUGUGCUUGGCCCAAGCCGCUGAGCGGCUGACUGGCAUGCGCGAAUGGCGAAAGGGCAGGGGGAGAUGGGGGAAGUUGAGCUGACCCAUUUGCGGGGAGCGGCGGCGGCAUCAUGAACGACGCCGCGGACGGCCCCCGUGCGGUGUUGAAGACGCCGUGGCCAUCGGGCCCUUUUGUAGUUGCGGUCGCGCCAAGCACGGCCCCGGUGUGGGUACCGGUCAUUGCAGGCUGUGUUUGACUCGCCCCCGGUGCUUGGUGCAGCACGUCUUCCGAGCGCGACGGUGGUGGUGGUGUUGGUGUAAACUGCAGGGCCGCCACCGAAUCGGUCAGAUCGGCGACGCGCCGCUCGAGAUCGGGCCGCCACGCCACGAGAUCGUCGACCUUGGCGUUGGAGGCCUGGAUCGUGGCGGUGUGCUCCUUGAGCGUGGUCUCCAGUCGCUCUAGGAACGACUGGAUGGAUGGAUCCAUGGCCAUGAGGCAAGAUCGCGCCUGACGCAGGGCUCUUGUCUCCACGAACUGUGCCAGAUCGACGCGACGGAAGGGAGUGGGAUUGGUCUCUGAUACCAGAUGUAAGGUACAGGAUGGGAUUUACUCGAACUAGCUUGAUCUCACUCACGAAUUCAAGUCCGGUAUCUCAAUUACAAGGGAAAUGGGAUUACAGAAAGAGGAAUAUCUGAAGAGAAGAACCAGGGUAAGCCGCCGCCGCCGUUUGCCUUGAUCCACUGGAUGACCUGAUCUCCGAGGGGCGUGCCUUAAGUAGCCGGCUGGGCGGUUGGGCUCAGCGGGCCCACUGCGGCCCAGAGUUGGUUGGGUUGGGCUUCUUGGUCCUGAUGGGUCGAGAGGCAGCGAGGGGGUCGCUGCCGCCUGGGUCCUUCCUGUCAGCGAUCAGAGUAGGGUCACCUGGACUAGGGGCGCUGACAGUGUCCUUCUUAAUCUUCUGAGACUGAUCGAGGCGAGAGCCAACCUAGAGCUAUGGGUGGUAAAGGUGGCGGGGGUGGUGGCGGUGGAAAGGGCGGAGGAGGAGGUGGCGGCAAGGGCGGAGGCGGAGGCAGCGGUGGCAAGGGCGGAGGGGGAGGGGGAGGCGGGGCGAGGAGCGGCGGCGGGGGAGGAGGUGGAAAAGGUGGUGGAACCGGAGGAGGGUCUGCCAAGUCCGGCGGCGGGGGUGGGCACAUUGGGAUGGGGAAGUCAGGCGGCGGCGGCGGCAGAGACGGCAUGAUGAGGGCCCCCGGCGCCGACGGCUACAUCGCCCGCUCCGGCUUCGAGGCCAACCCCCAGGGCUACUUCGCGGGUCUCCACCACGGAGACGCCGCCAAGUAGAGACGUCUUGCUGCAUCAGCUCCUGUGUUAGCUAGGCUGCUCCUGGUCACUAGUGUUGACCAAUGUUUGUAGCAACUCCAAUAAUGUAUAGACUGCCCGCGUGAGAACAGCCUAGCAACUUUAUCUUGUAAUCCCAAGUCGAUCGAUCUGAACGUUAGCUAGUAACGCAAUGCAUGAUGAGAUCGACGCUUGUACCUCUAAUAAGUGAAUGUACGUCGUCCCUGUUAAUUAACGGUGUGCGU